AAAUUCUACAAAAAAAAUCUGAAACGCAUUGGUUUUGUUAAUAACUUGAAAAGAACAGAGACUUGAACAAGAGAGAGAGACACGAGAUAUUGAAUGUGAAACUUCUUGUUUUGUUAAGUCAUUACACACACUUAUAUAUAAUCACAAGGUCGUAAUCUCUAAAACAAGACCAUUUUGUAUACAUUCCUCUUUGUAGUAUGCUGGAAUCAAGACUCACAGUCCGGAGGGAAGGAGAGUUGGGACAAGAAUUAAUGUCGUGCCCUCCACGAAACCAAAAAUUACCUCUAUGAAUAAUAACAAGUUACCUCUAUGAAUACUCAUAUCAAUCGCAAAUCCAUGCAAAACCCUAAAGAGAUGAUAAGAAAAGAUAAAUCAAAGAGAAGAAAGCGAUGAACAAUAAUGAUCGAUCACUUCUUGAUAUAUAUAUACAGAGAGAGGGGAAGCAAAACCCAAAACCUGAGCCGGUUUAGGGUUCCGAAGAGAUCCUACGGCUGUUAAUUGUUUAUGUGCAAGAACUCAACGGUGAAGAUGUAAUAACACAAUAAUAACAGCUUAAUUAAUAUGAAUUACUGAUCAGAAAAAAAAACUCAUACGCUGCUUCAAAACCUCUCUCGCCAGAAAAAUCUUAACGUCGGCAUACAAUAACAAACUGAUCAGGUUUUAGUUAUACAGCUAUUUUAAGAGUUGAGCUGAGUACAAAUUUAGUUACUCUAGUUGAGUGGCACAAUGAAAUUAGAACUAAAACUAGCUAUAAGAUAAAAUAUAUGAUUAGGAAAAAAAUAUAAAAUGAAAAUUGACAAUUCUUUAAUAAAAGUGUUAAACACUAUUAUAUAUCAGGAAGAGCAAAAACAAAACAAAAAACUCUUAUUAGGAUAAAUGAAAAUAAAUAUAUUAAAAAUUAGUUAGUCUAGUUAAGUGGCGGAAAUUAAGACUAAACUUAGUAACUACAUGAUAAAAUAUAUGAUGUAAAAUUAUAUAAUUAAAAUACAAAGUGAAAAUUCAGUUGACAUAAUUACUGAAUUGUGUAAUAUAUAGCCUAAUUCAAUAAAAUAAAAAAACUAUCAGCCGAAUUUUAAUAAUAAAUGAACAAGAAAAAAUAAUAUAAGUAAGGUGUUAAAAAAAAAGUAAUUGGUCCAAUUGAGUUCGGCCCAUGAGAUCAUAUUGAGCUCAAGCGGAACCGACUCGUUAUCCAUCCACUACCAGAAGCGGGAAGUAUUCGCUGCUCUGUGAAACCAGCCUCACGCAAUGUCCUCCGCUCUAAGAACCACGUGACCCGAGCCUUCGCUCGAAACACGAAGCACAUCUCCUGACUUGGAUCGGGCGAGUCAGUGAAAAUCCAGCCUAAACUCUACCACGUGGACCAAACGAACGUUCCAAUUACUUGUUUGCUCUCACUUGAGUCACAAGCCCUCGCUACAGAGCUCAGCGAACAUUACCUCUUCUCUCUUCAUAUAUAAAUCACUCUUUGUAUUUCACAUUUUCCGAUGUGGGACUUUUUGUGUAGUAAUUUCUAUUUAUUAGUUAAUUAAAUCUAUAUACUGUAUGUUAUAUAGUGUGAUGGUGAUACUAUUUUGGGAUUUUGAGAUUUUGAUAUUUGAUAUAAGCUACAUCCCUUUGGUGUUUGGUAUAAGCGAUUCAGAAAUAAGAAGCUAAUAAGGCCUACGAAUUGCCAAAAAAACAGAGCAGUCUUGAUUUGGCUAAAAAAACAGAGUAGUCUUGAUUUACUUGGUACAAAAGUAAAGAUUGUAAAGAAGUACCACAUUUAAAGUACUACAUAUGUUUUGGAUAUUUAGUUCUUAGUAUGGCUUUUGGUUGACCAUUUGAAGAUGCAAAAUUCCUAACACUAGCUAUAUAUAUAGUUGGGUUCUGUAAAAACGUUUUGUUUGGAGAAAAGCUUUAGAGUUUAGAGCCAGCACCUCCAAACCUAACGUUAAGAGAUAAUUUUGGGAAACUUCAAACUUGAUGGUUAUCAUUAAAUAAGGAGAUAAAUUGGUACUAGAUACAAAAGAUGAGGAAAUCGAAGAGAUUACUAAUCAAUGAGAAGAGAAUAACAAGAAGGAGAUACGAAGAGUUGAGUCAAGAAGAGUAUACGAAGAGUUGAGUCAAGAGAGAUACGAAGAGUCGAAUCAAGAGAGAUACGAAGAGUUGAGUCAAGAGAGUAAUAACUCUCAAGAGAGUAUAUAUAUCUAAUUAUAUACAUUGUGCUUCUCCCUCGUUGAUCUCAGAAGGUUUAUAGGAGGGAAGAUCCUGAUGAGGUCUAUAUGAAAUGGAAGAAACCAACAUAUGUUCCUGAAUGUUUGUUGCUCCAUCUCGAGACGUUGGUGUGGAAAUUUUACCAAGGGGAAAUAAAAGAUGAUAAAGAGAUUGCGAAAUACAUCCUAAGGAAUGCGAGUUGUUUGAAAAAGGCAAGUUUCUACAAUGCAUAUGUUCGUCCUAGGAGACUUAAGUGGGUGAAUCAACUGAAGAAUGUGGCCAUGGCCUCGAGUUCAUGCCAGCUUGUGUUCAAAGAAGCUGAUAUCACAUCCGACUCUUACUCACUCGGUUCUAGAGGACAUUGAUUUAAUAAGAUGUUGAGUUGAACCACAUCCAUCUCUUACUUCACUCGGUUCUAGAGGACAUUGGUUUAAUAAGAUGUUAAGUUGAACUCUAUCGCCAUGUAUUAUUUAAGGUUGAAAUUUUUGGGCUUGUGAUCUUUACUUUCUUAACCACAUUAUUAAGAUUUGGAAAACAUAAUAUGUUUGUUAAAUGAAAAUAAGAAUGGUAAAAACUGAGGAGUCUCAAUUUCUGACCAAGCAGACCCAAGAUCUCUGAUUUGGUUGAAAUUUUGAUUUGGUAACAUAUACAGACUGUUCUUACUUAUUAUGCAAGGAAGCUCUUCCACUGAAAAAGUCCAAAUUUGUUCCUACAAAAGUCGUACCUUGAAUAUGGUUUAAGUAAAAGACUUUUAAUGGAUACGAGAAUUUUAUUAGAGUUUUUGCCUUUAAAGUUUUAUUAGAUUUAUAUAUACUUUGAAUGAUAAAUGUUCCUUCUUUGAAAUACUUGAAGACUGAAAUAGGGAAUCACUGUCCUAGGUCUAUUCUAAUGAAGAAUGUGACUACCCUGGUAGAGGCACAUAUCAUUGAUGUCUCUGAUAUAAACAUUGAAAACCUUUUGGGGUCUCUUACUUCAGUCAGACGUCUUAUCUUGGAUUUAUCACCCUUGAAGGUAGAGUUUCAGGUUUUUAGUUGAUAUGUAUUAUAUUUUGUUUAUAUGUUACUAAUUAAUACUGUCUCAUGCAUAGGCUAAGUUUCCCACCGGUAGCAUCUUCCAUCAGCUGGUACAUUUGGAGCUACUUACACAUGAAUCAAAUUACCCUUAUGCUUGAGAGUUCUCCUAAUCUGCAAGCCCUCAAGCUCAUUAAUGUAAGCAAUGUUUCAUUUGUCAACAGUUUUUUGUUUAGUAGGUUUGAGGAUCUUAAUAAUAACAUAUAUUUCAUGUGUUACGCUCUCAUUUUGAUCACAGCGACUGGGUUGGAGAGAAGUCUUUCCUGCUUGUUAGCGAGAGUCUUAUAUAACUUUUAGUUACUAUGCUUUUUGUUCAACCAGUUUCUAAUAAUAUGUUUUGGAUCUUUUGAUAUGGUGAGAUGGUGAUACAAUUUUGGGGGUUUGAGAUUUGAUAUAAGCUAUAUAUCCCUUUGGCGUUUGGUACAAGAGAUUCAGAAAUAAGAAGCUACAGCCUAUGAUUUGCUAAAAACAGAGCAGUCUUUAUUUGGCUAAAAACAGAGCAGUCUUGAUUUUUAGUUCAUACAUAUUGGUUUUAGAUGUUGAGUUAUAUAGUAUGGCACUAUGUUUUUAAACGGUUCAAAAUUCUGAACUUCUUUUAAUGUAUUGUUGACUGUUGAGGGUUACACAAUCUUGGGUUUUGUGCUUUAUGCAUCAUUGCGUUGUGGAAACAUUCUUGUAAACAUCUAGACUCUAGAGGUAAACAGUACUAUCUAUGUUGCCAAACAACAAUUUUCACUUUAAGAGGCAGAGAAGGCUCCUCCUCUCAGAAACCCUAACAUCCGCCGAAUAGUUCUGGCUUCAAUCUCUUCUUCCGCCGCCAUACUCGACGGGUGAAGCGGCCAGCAGGAGGAAUUAGGUCUUUCUCUACGGAAAAGAACUAUCUUUUAAAGCGUUUGGCUGCGUCUGCGUUCGAAGGUUGAAACAGCGUUUUGUAAUGCGAAAGCACUAAGAAAGCAAUAAGUUACCUGUGCGAGCUCUCCACUUCAGUUCGUCCUCAAUUUCAUACUCAUCCUUGACAAUGAAACGAUGGUAUAUUUUUACGACCCGUUCUAGGUUUGUUUUCUUUUGUGUUGUGCGUCGCUCUUUGCAUCUACCUCUUAAACUGUUUAGUUCCAAACCAAAUAAAGUCAUCAUUUUUGUCAUUCUCUUUUUUGGGUAUUUGAAAGUUUCAUCCUUUAGAGUUCCAAACCAAACUCUCUGCAUCUCUCUCUUAUGAACCGUUCUGAGAGUUUUCUUAAAUUGCUAGUGCCAGACUAUUGAAUUCAUCCUUUUUUAUUUUUGUUCUUUUGGGUAUUUGAAAGUUUCAUCUUUUUGAGUUCCAAACCAAACUCUCUGCAUCUCUCUUUUAUGAACCGUUCUGAGGGUUCUCUUAAAUUGCCAGUUCCAAACUGAUAAAGUCAUCAUUUUUUGUUUGUCUUGUUCUUUUGGGUAUUUGAAAGUGUGAGAAUUGGAGGUGCUGAGAAUGAGGACAGGAUCAGUGACUUGCCUGAAGCUCUGCUUCUGCAGAUAUUGUCUUUACUUCCAGUAAAAGAUGUUGUAGCCACUAGUGUAUUGUCUAAACCAUGGAGGUCUCUCUGGAAGCUGGUGCCCAAACUCAAGUUUGAUUAUGAAAACAAUCAAAGUGAACACGAGACAUACUCAGAGAUUGUUAGCAGGCUUUUGCUUUCCAAUAAAGCUCCGGUUCUAGAGAGUUUGCAUCUCGAUUUUGAGAAUGGCAAGUGUCGUUCUGUGGAUGUUGGAAUGUGGAUUGGAAUUGCGUACGCACGCCGUGUGCGUGAGUUGGUACUCCAUGUUAUAUCUAAGAAAAGGUCUUUCAAAUUUCCUACAAGCUUGUAUAACUGUGAUACUCUAGAGAGCUUGACACUCAGGAGUUGGGUCCUCGUUGAUGUCCCUUCUCCGGUUUGUCUCAAGUCUCUUAGAACUCUGCGUCUUGAGUGUGUGGAGUACCAAGACGAAGAAACAUUUGUUAACCUUUUAUCUGGCUGCCCUAAACUUGAAAAUCUGGAUGUAAAUCGAGGAGAUCAACUGGAUGUGGCGACUUUCACAAUUGCCAUGCCAUCUUUACAGAGACUAACAAUUCGAGAUUAUUCUGAUGCACAAGAGUGUGGUGGCUAUGUAAUCAAUGCUCCUUCUUUGAAAUACUUGCUAAUUUAUGGCCUAAAGUCUCUUGAGUUUUGUCUGAUCGAGAAUGCGCCGGAGUUGGUGGAGGCAACUAUUAUGGAUGUGUCUGAGAUAAUCACUGAGAGGCUUCUGGAAUCUUUCACUUCUGUCAAACGUCUUUCCUUGGCUUUAUCCCCCUUGGAGGUAAGUUUUUCUUGCAAGGAAUUGUGUACUUGUCUGUUAAUUAUCACACUGUUUAUUGUGCUAAUAUUGGCGCAUGUGUAUAGAUUAAGUUUCCUACUGGUAGCAUCUUCUAUCAGUUGGUAUCUUUGGAGCUAUAUACACAUAAACCAGAGUGGUGGAAUCUACUUGUGCUCAUGCUCGAUAGCUCUCCUAAAUUGCAAAUCCUCAAGCUCAUUGGUGUAAGCAAUGUUCAGCUCUCAGAAAUAUUUGCAAGUUGGUUUUAAAUUUUGCUAUCGAUCUAAUAAUAGUGUACAUUGUGUUUGUUAGUCUCAGAGACGGUCUUGUAAAAAUUAUCAUUCAGCCUUUAGGAAUUGGAAUCAACCAAAGAAUGUUCCUGGAUGUUUGUUGUUUCAUCUCGGUUCAUUCAUGUGGAAAGGCUGCAACAGGCUAGGAGAAGAUGAAAGAGAGGUGGCGAAAUACAUCCUAAGAAACACUAAUCGUUUGAAGAGAGCAACUUUCUCCAGAAUAAUCUAUGAAGAGAACAGUUCUCUAGACAUGGCUGAGAUGGUUGAGAUGAGGAAGGAUUUGGAAAGUGUGGUCAGGGCUUCAAAUUCAUGUCAGCUUGUAUUCGAAUGUAAGAAAGAUAGUCUUAUGUAACUUUUUAUUAUGAUGAUGUUCAGUUGGGCGUACUGAGUUCUAGUAUGGCCUUUGUUUGACCCUUUUUGAUUAUCCAAAAUUCCAAACAUUAUUAUGUAUUUGUUGGAAAUUGUAAUUGAUGAAUGUUACUUUGUACGUUUGCUUGUGGGAAAUCAUGGAAUCGACCAGAAAAAGUUGCUGAAUGUUUAUUGCGGAACCUCGAGACAUUUGUCUGGAAAUUCUAUGAAUGGAAACGAGAAGGUGAGAAUGAAGUGGUGAAAUAUAUUCUAAGUAACUCGAUUCGUUUAAAAAUAGCAACUUUUUCCUCAAAAUCCAUCGAUCGUAAAAAGAGAGAUGAGAUGGCCGAGGAUUUAAAUAGUGUGGUCAGGGCUUCAGAUUCAUGCAAGCUUAUGUUUCAAUGAAACCUAUUAAGCACCUAUGCUUCUUGUGUUAAACCUAAUUAAUUAUAUCUGUUUUACCUGUUAAGAAUCGGCAACAGCUCUUUAUCUUCUUCGUUAUUUGUUUUCUACUCUCUGUUUCCAUAAAGCAGACCGAAUAUAAAAUCAGAUAUGUCAUAAGAACAUGGCUUCGUUGAAUUGAAGUCAUGCCAGCUUAUGUUCAGAGAAACUUAUACCACACGUAAGGACUAAGGAUUACAAGUUCUGAAUUGUGUGUAAUUUAAAGGUUGGGUUUGUGAAUUGGGAAGAAUAUAUAGAUUCUGAAAACUUUUUGAUGAGUCAGAGACUACGAAUGGCUAACAGGGGAGCUACUAGCUUUGAUUGUUGUAAAAGCUUUGGUGAACAGAACAAGAACAGAGUAACCGGUUUUGUUCACUUAGCUUAGCUACUGCAUCAGGUGCAGUCACAAUUUCUGACCAACUAAUUUGGUUGAGAGUUUGAUGUGGAAAUAUACAUGUAUUUCCCACAUGUUUCAAUUCACAGAACCGGCAAGUCAACAACAUUAGUUCCUACAAAAGUGAAUCCUUGAAUUAGGCCAAAUCCGGUGGAAACUUUCUUUAACACUGGAAUUUUAAGGUGGAAUCCCUUUGAUGGACAAGAAUAUUUUACUAGAAUUUUUUUGUGUUUAAAAUUUUGGAAUUUUAUUUUGUCAUCGUGAAUUAUAUUUAAAAAGUGGUAUUUUUCCGGAUGGGUUAUGUAAUUUUAAAUUUUGGAUUCUUGAUUUUAUAUUUUUUUUUGUUAAUUUCAUUAGAAUAUAAAAAAUAAAUUUUGACAAGAAAAAUACCUUUUAAUAGCAUCGUCGAAUCAAACUGAUUUAAUUAAGUUUGAUAUUAUGUAAUUAAUUUAAAUAAUUUACAACAUAAUAAAAAAAAUUGUAUUUGAAAAUAAGAAUUAAAAAAUUUGCCAUCUGUGUACGCCGGUUAAAAUCUAUUAUUGUAUUAAAAAAAAAAGAGAAGAAAAAAAUAUCAUAAACAUAAUAUAAAGUCAUAUUGGGAAGUGAAAAUACACAAAUAAAUCCUCCAAAACCCUAACUCUUCUACUUCGUCUUACCCAGCCGAAUUGGAUCAGCUCCAUCUACGUUCGGGAGGUUUAGUACUCACGAAGGGUUUAACAGCAACGCACAAACUUCUUCAAUUCAAACCUGACCAAUGAAACGACGGUUAGUUUCUUUUAUAUGUUUUAGGAUUCCUCAACAGUAAUCUCCAAAACAUAAAGCCAACUAAUUGUGUCUUUUGUCGUGGUCUUUGGCAGCAAAAGAGAUCGUAAGCGUAUACACAGUCGACGUAUUGUGAGUGUGGACAGGAUCAGUGAGCUUCCUGAGGCUUUAAUUCUGGAGAUAUUGUCUCUACUUCCUACAAAAGUUGCUGUAGCCACGAGUGUUUUGUCUAAGCAAUGGAAGUCUCUUUGGAAGAUGUUGCCUAAACUCGAAUUUCAUUCUUAUGAUCACAAAAGUGGACCUGGAGCAUUUUCAAAGAAUGUUAGCAAGGCUUUGCUUUCACAUAAGGCUCCGGUUCUACAGAGUUUGCAUCUCAAAAUUUAUUUACUUGGUUGGUGUACUACGAGUGAUACUGAGACAUUGAUUGGGGUUGUUUUGGCCCGCAAGUUGCGUAAGUUGGUACUCCAAGUUCUCUGGGAACCAAUCAGAAUAUCUAAUGGCUUGUAUAACUGUGAAACACUAGAGACCUUGGAACUCAAGUAUCAUGUUCUUUUAGAUGUCCCUUCCUCAGUCUGUCUGAAAUCCCUUACAACUCUGCACCUUCAUUAUGUGAACUUCAAAGACAAUGAUUCAUUGCUUAACCUUCUAUCUGGCUGCCCUAAUCUUGAAAACCUGGAUGUGCGUCAAAACUCAGUUAGCAGCACGAAACCAUUCACUAUUGCGGUUCCAUCUUUACAGAGACUGACAAUUUAUGCAUCAGGUAGAGUUGAUACGGAUGCCGGAUAUGUGAUAAAUGCUCCUUGUUUAAAAUUCUUGAAGAUUGAAGGGACUGAUCAAGUAUUUGGGUAUUUUCUGAUUGAGAACGUACCAGAGUUGGAGGAGGCAAUGAUCAGUGUAUCCUCUCAUUUAGUGAAUGACAACCUAUUGGGAUCUCUAACGUCUGUCAAACGUCUGAACUUAGAAUCCUCACCUUCGCAGGUAGUUUUCUUGCACUUAAUUUAGUUUUUGUUAUAUUCUAUUCUUUAUAAGUACUAAUUCUCUUACUGAUGCACAGAUUAAGUUUCCCACGGGUAGCAUCUUCUAUCAGCUGGUUUACUUGGAACUACUCACACACAACGAAGAGUGUUGGAAUCUACUUACCCUAAUGCUUGAUGGUUCUCCUAAUUUGCAAGUUCUCAAGAUUUUCAGUGUAAGCAAAAUGUUCUUUUCCAGCUGCAUGUGUUUUAGUUUUGAUGAUCUAAUGAUAACGUGGAUAUUGCAUUAUCUCUCACUGAUCUCAGCAUCGAUAUUGGAAUAAUGAUGCUGUUGGGAAAUGGAAUCAGCCAGAGAAUGUUCCUGAAUGCUUGUUGUUUCACCUCGAGACAUUCUUCUGGAAAGGCUAUGAUUGGAGACAAGAAGCUUUGUUUGAAGUUGUGAGAUACAUCCUAAGUAACACAAAUUGUUUGAAGAUAGCAACUUUCUCCUCAAAACAACUUCGUUCUGAAGAGAGAGUUGAAAUGGUCAAGGAUUUGAAUAGUGUGGCUAGGGCUUCGAAUUCAUGCCAGCUUCUCGUUGAAUGAAACAGCAACUAUAUAUAUAGUAAGAGAUUCUUUGUUCUCACAUGUUUACUCUGCUCUUUGUUCAACAUAUUUAUAUCAUCUUUUUAGACUGUUUUGGAUGUCGAGCUUGUUAUACUAUUGUGGUAUGUGGUUCUUAUGUAGCUUUUAACUUGUUGACACUUAAAAGAAUCAAUUUUUUAUUAAUAAGAAUCUGAUAAGUAUGGUACUAAAAGCAUAUGGUAUAUUUAAAUUUAUGGUGAAACUAAGAAUUGUAAAAUUACAGAAACUAAUUAAAAAAAAAUCUACCUCUAACCUAAUUACAGAAACUAAUUUGUUAUAUUUGUAUAGUAGUUGUUAUGGAUGUUCUUGUUCGAAAUUUCUCUUGUAAAUUUUAAAAUCCAUUUCUCUAAAUUAUUUGUUACAAAGGAUAAUGAUGAGUUGAUUUUAUGGCAAAGAAAGUGAAAUGAAAAAAAAAAAAAAAAAAAAAACUUGUAAGUCUACAGAACCAGAAGUAACCUUCGUAACAAUUGGAAAACCAAACGAACCGACAUGACUUAUCUAACAAGUAACUGUUAUAAAAAUACGUAACAUGAACAAACCCAAUUGAUGACAAAAAAAAAAAAAAAAAGAACAAACCCAAUUAUAAACUAAUUAACGUUCCUUAUUUCAGUUAGGCUUUUUUUUUUGGGCCUUCAGAAACCAUUUAGUUCGGCCGAACAAGUUAUUGUAAACAAAAGUGAUAUUUUUGGUAAACCCUACUUACCUCCGCAGUCUAAUAUCUUCGUCUACGCUACCCAUCGAACUCGAGCAGCACCAUCUUUGUUUGGAAAAAGCGUACGUUAAAACUCAAGCUUGAGCAAUGAAACGAUGGUUAGUAUCUUUAAUAAUCUCCAAAACUCAACAACCGUACCAACUCGUGUGUUUAAUUAAUUUGUUAUUCGAUUUUGGCUUUUUGACAGCAAAAGAAACAGCGGUGAUGAAAGAAAGAAUGAUGCAAGUGUUGUGAAAGAGGACAGGAUCAGUGAGUUGCCUGAAUCUUUGAUUCUGAAGAUAUUGUGCCAACUUCCUAUACAACAGGCAGUAGCCACAAGUGUUUUGUGUAAACAGUGGCAAUCUGUUUGGAAGAUGAUCCCUAAACUCAAGUUCGAUUAUUUCCCUAUCAAACAUCAACUCGGGAACGUUUGCAAGUUUUUGCUUUCACAUAAGGCUCCAGUUCUACAAAGUUUUCAACUCAAAGUUGAUUAUAUAGAUAGACAUAAUGUAGUGGAUAUUGUAAUCUUGAUUGGGAUUGCACUCACCCGCAAUGUCCGUAAGUUGGUACUCGAAGUUAGCGGUCCCGCCGAAGUGUUGAUCACAUUUCCGACAAGCUUGUAUAACGGUGAAACACUUGAGACUUUGACACUCAGGAGAUGGGUCCUCCAUUUCCCUUCUCAGUUUUGUCUCAAGUCUCUUAAAAAUCUGCAUCUAGACUACGUGAACUACAAAGACAAUGAAACGUUUCUCAACCUUUUAUCUGGUUGCCCUAAUCUUGAGACUUUGAAAAUCUGUUCUUGGGCUAUCACGGAUGUCUUCCCUUCAACAGUGUGUCUGAAAUCCCUUAGAACUCUACACAUCUACGACCUACAGUUCCACGAGGAGAAAUCGCUUCUCAACCUUUUAUCUGGCUGCCCUAAUCUUGAAAAUGUUGAAGUGUCUCGAAUUACAAAUAGUAGCGACUGUUUCUUUAUUGCAGUGCCUUCCUUACAGAGACUAUCAAUUGAUAAUGACCUCUACCCCCCCUGCAGCUAUGCGAUAAAUACUCCUUCUUUAAAGUACCUGAAGAUUAGUGGUUCUAUAGCUCUGGAGUCUUGUCUAAUUGAGAACGUACCAGAGUUGGUUGAGGCAGAUAUCGAUAUUGAGGUCUCUAAUCAUAUAACCAUAAUCAGUGAGAAUCUAUUGGGACCUCUCACUUCAGUGAGACGUCUUACCUUGGCUUUAUCAUCCUUGAAGGUAAAAAACAUGCAAUCAGUUGAGAUAAUAUUAUAUUGUUUAGAUCGAUAAACUAAUAUUACAUUGUUUAUAAUAUACUAAUAUUGUCUCGUGUUCAGAUUGAGUUUCCUAUCAGUGUCAUCUUCUACCAGCUGGUAUAUUUGGAGCUGUAUACAGAUAGAGAAGCCUGGGGGAAUCUACUUAUCCACAUGCUUGGCUGUUCUCCUAAAUUGCAAGUCCUCAAGCUCAACGGUGUAAGCAAAUAUAUGUUCAUAUGUCAACAAUAGAUUGGUUUUAGAUAUGUCAGUAAUAACAUAUAAUGUGUUUUUUUGCCUCCUCAAGGGUUGCAAUGAAGCUCUGGAUCCUGGAGAAUGGAAUCAACCAAAGAAUAUUCCUGAAUGCUUGUUGCUUCAUCUAGAGACAUUCACGUGGAAAGGCUACAAAUGGCAACGAAAAAAGGAGAGGAAAGUGGCGAAAUACAUUCUGAAAAGCUCAAAUCAUUUGAAGAGAGCUACUUUCUUAUCCUCAAAACGCAUUUGUUCUACAGAUAGGCGUAUGAUGGUCAAGUAUAUGAAAAGUCUUGUCAAGGACAAGUUCAUGCCAGUUUCAAUUCAAAUGAAACAUUUAGGUUAAGAGUGUCUUUGUUCUAGAGUUCAGCUUGGUAUCUAGGGAUUUAUUUAUGUUAUUAUAACUACAUAUUAAACUUGCAAACUGAGUUAACGAAUGUUUUACAACUCCAAAGUCCAAACCAAUCGGUUAUAUAUAUAUACAAAAUGAUAUCGGUCAAACUUUGGUUUUGUUUCCUUUUACAACCCAUUUUUACAACUCAUGUGACUGAUAAUAAAACUAUCUCUCGUUACUACUGCUGCAACUCGAUCAUAUAAUUUUGCGGACUCUGAUCUCAAGAAAAAACAGAAAAGUGCUCCCAAAAAGAAUGGACAAAUCAUUCACUAGACCUUCAGAAGAAAUCUUAAAAUAAAGUAACAAAAUAUAAUCCUGGUGUUAUAUUACUUUAUGAAAAAAAUCUUGUAUAAUUAAAAAAUUUAUUUUAUAUUGUAAAAUAUAAACUUUUUGUUAGAUAUUAUCAAUUUUAGCUAGCUAGGUUAAUUAAUGGGUUAGUUAAAUCUAUGACCUCAAAUAAUUGAAAAACAAAAAGUAUGUUUUAAGAAGAAAAAAAUAAAAGUUACUUUUCAAUAUUUACUCUUAAUUAAUUUAUAGUGUUUAAAGAUAAAAUAUACAUGUCAGAUAUUUUCAUUAAAAAUAGCUUUCUUUUGGGUUUUAUAAUGAGGUUGGUUUAUGAUUAAUAAAUCAAAUUUUUAUUAGAAAGAAAGAGAAUCUAAAAAAAGAUAACAUUAGAAAAAGAGAAGAAGUGUCAUGUUUAUAAGACAUGUGGCAGCAUUUCAGAGCUCCCCACAUAAAAGUAUCCAUAUUUAUUAAAUGUUUUACAUUAUUAAAUGAUUUACAUAUUUAAACUUUCAAUAUAUAUAUAUAUAUAUAUAUAUAUAUAUAUAUAUAUAUAUAUAUAUAUAUAUAUAUAUCUUAUUAUAUGAACCUUGGUUUUCAAAGUUAGCCAUUAACAAGAUUGUGACAUGUGUUAUUUAGAAAUGAUAGAGAAAUAUUAUAAUAAGUAUUCCAGUUAGCUCUUAACAAGAUCGUGACAUGUAUUAUUUAUAAACGAAAGGAUGUUGACACGUGUCGAUUCUAAUUUUGUUAAUGUGUUGAUAAAAAUAGAAAUAUUAAGAGAUAGGGAUUUGAAAUUUNNNNNNNNNNNNNNNNNNNNNNNNNNNNNNNNNNNNNNNNNNNNNNNNNNNNNNNNNNNNNNNNNNNNNNNNNNNNNNNNNNNNNNNNNNNNNNNNNNNNUCUACUAUUACUAUAUUAAUUAUAUAUAUAUAUAUAUAUAUAUAUAUAUAUAUAUAUAUAUAUGUCCUUGGUAUUUAGAAAUACAACAACUGAGUAAAACAAAACAAAUAAGAAUCAUCCUUUGAGAAAUAUUCCAAACCAUGAAAUCGUCACAAAUAGUUCUAAUCUGCAUUGUUAUGUUCUCCCUAUUGGCUUUACAUGAGUGUAAGUAUAAUUAAGUUAGUUUAUAUAUAAAUCAUAUAAAUCGAAUGAUCGAUGGUCAAAGUCGUGUGAUUGUGUUAUUCGAAUAAACGUGUAGGUGGAAGGAUAGAGAGAGGAGUGAUGAGUCUGAAUGUUGGGAAAGCAGAACCAGACCCAGAUAGAGGUGUAGGUGGUGGUGGUGGCAGGAUAGAGAGAGGAGUGAAUGUUGGGAAAGCAGAACCAGACUGUCGAAAAGAAAGACAUCAUAAAAUGGACUGUUGGUGUUGCCAUUUGAAAGGGGUACAAACUGUUAAAUGUUGGUUGCUUGAUUUUAUCCCCACCGCUAGAGAGAUUUGCUUAGCUUCUUGUCAUCUCUAGACCUAAAAAUUAAAAUUAAUAAUAAUCGAAUAAGAAUGAAACAAGAAUGUAUGAUGUUUAUUGAAUUUCUGGCUUUAUAAUGCUUAAAAUUUUACAUGUCACUAGCUCCGUUUUGUGUUAUAAACAUAAUGGCUAAUUUUAAGACAAUUUGAGAAAACUUUUAUACUUUUUUUUUUCAGCAGACAACUUUAAUACAUAACUUAACUUAAUAUUGUAAAAGUUGGGAAAUAUGUUACAACACAAAGUUAAUUCAAAGAAGUAGAAAGUCAUUUAUAUUGGAGAUAAAUUUAAAUAGGAAAUGUUUGUCGUGUUAUAAAACAAAACCAAAUACUAAGAAGUAUGAAGUCUAUAUGCUAAAUCCUCACAUGAAAUUUGUGAUUUUUUCUUGUUACCUUUUAAUUAAUACAAUUUAAGUUUAGUUAAAAAAAAUAGAUAUGAAGUGGACCAAUAAAGGGAAAGUUAAAUUUUUCUUAUAUACUUUGUAAGAAAUCUAUAUAAAAUUUUUAAAAACUCUUGUAAACCUUUGAAAAGUCUUGUAAAUCCUUUCAAAACAUUUUAAAUCCCUUAAACACCUUUAUUAUAUGAUAUCAUUUGCAAUUGCCAAAAUCUUUAUUUUGUAAAUCCCCUUGUGGCCUUUAAGAAAUGGAAUCAACCAAAAAACAUGUUCCAAAUCUUUGUUUCCUUCACUUGGACGAGGGUCUUUGUGAGAGUCUUAAGAAAUUAGAAACUGUGGUCGAUCAGGGUUUCAAAUUCAUCAUGCCAGCCUUCAAUUCUUAUCAUUGAAUUAAAAUCAUCAAUCAUCAUACCAUGUAUGUGGUUGGUCACAUGGAGGAACUGUUUACGAAAAACAAACCGCGUUGGUUGGUUUUAACUUUUAAGUAACAUUGGAGCUUACUAGAUUGAUUGAUAGGAAUCAAAGGUUCCCUUUGUUGGCACAAUGGCACGUAUCAUCAAUUCUUUCUUCUUUGAAUAAUCAAAGAGGUUUUGGGCCGAAACCGAUACAUCCCAUCAUGUUCAAAACCAGAUCAUGUUAUAUGGUUUCGUCCCAAGCGUGACUUGAACUGGCGACUUCUAAAGUUUUGCCAGAAAUAUUUACCAAUUGAGCUAUUAGGACUUGAUCUAUCAUCAAUUCUUACACGGUUACACCGCGAGAGUUUGAACGUGUAGCUGGGUUCAAGUUUUACUCGGGUUCCGUUCGGUUUUGGAUAUAUAUAAAAAUACAAAUAACCAAUAUUCCUCUCUUUAAAUAAAAUAAAAAUAUGUAAUGGAAAACAAUGUUUUGUAAUUUUGUCAUUAAAAUUAAAUUAACUUAUGAUGGUGACAUCGACAUACGACAUUAGGUAUAUACCCUAGCUCGUUCUCUACGCCGCAGCAGUCUCAUCAUCCGAAUUCAACCUUCACUAUCUGCAUUGUUUGGAGGGCGUAAAGUGUGAUAAGGAUUUAACAUAAUUCUCUGAUGAAACAAAGGUUGGUCUCUUUGUCUGUUUUAGGGCUUUGUAACUGUAAUUAAAGCUAAAAACCCUAACUCUAUCUUUUGUUCUUGGUUCGUCUUGGAAUUUUGACAGCAAAAGAGAUGGUGAGAGUAUAAAGAACCGAGGUGUUGUGACUGAGGACAGGAUCAGUGAGUUACCUGAAGCUCUGAUUCUGCGGAUAUUGUCUUUGCUUCAUACAAAAGUUGCCAUAUCCACGAGUGUUUUGUCUAAACAAUGGCAGUCUCUUUGGAAGAUGCUGCGUAACCUCAAGUUUGAUCACAGAAUCGAACGCGAAUUCGGGAAUGUUUUCAGGUGUUUGCUAUCUCACAAGGCUCCGGGUUUACAGAGUUUUCAUCUCAAUGUUAAAUUAGAUGGACGUCAUAAUGCAAUGGAUACUGGAAUCUUGAUUGGAAUCGCAUUAGCCCGCAAUGUGCGUGAGUUGGUACUCGAAGUUUGCUCUGACAACGAGCAUGUCACAUUACCUAAAUGCUUGUAUAAAUGUGAAACACUAGAGACUUUGAAACUCUUGACUCGGGUUACUAUGGAUGUCCCUUCAACAGUGUGUAUGAAAUCCCUUAGAACUCUGCACAUCCACUACAUAGACUUCAUGGACGAGAAAUCCCUUCUUAACCUUUUAUCUGGCUGCCCUAAUCUUGAAAAUUUGGAAAUGCAUAGAAGUCUAGGUAAUAGCGUGAAUUUUUUCAAUAUUGCAGUGCCAUCAUUACAGAGACUAUCAAUUUAUGAUGUCUAUUACGGAUAUGAUCAUAACAGCUAUGUGAUAAAUGCUCCUUCUUUGAAAUACUUGAAACUUGACGGGUUCAAAACUCCUGAGUCGUGUCUGAAGAUUGAGAACUUACCUGAGUUGGUGGAGGCACGUAUUUAUAAUGUCUCCGAGAAGCUUAUGGGAUCUCUAACUUCAGUUAAACGUCUUUCCUUGGCUUUAUCACCCUUAGAGGUACAUUUGUAUCUUGUCUUGUACGUAAUUGGAUUGAGUUGCUAUUACUUAUUCUUUCUGUACUAACUAUAUAAAUAUAAUAAUACUGUCUCAUGCAUAUAGAUGACGUUUCUUACACGUAACAUCUUCAACCAGCUUGUCUAUUUGGAGCUCUGGAUAAAUAAGGAAGGAUGGUGGAAUUUUCUUACCCUCAUGCUAGUUUGUUCUCCUAAUUUGCAAUUCCUCAAGCUCAAAGCUGUAAGCAGUGUGUACUCAUAUAUGUCAGCAAUAUUUAUAGCUUUGGUUUUAGUUUUUGCUGAUCUAACACACAUUGUACGUUUCUCCCUCAGCCGUCGACUCAGAAGUAUUUUCUUGCUGGAAAAUGGAAUGAACCAAAGAAUGUUCCUGAAUGCUUGUUGCUUCAUCUUGAGACAUUCAUGUGGGAAGGCUACGGAUGGGAACGGCAAGUUGAGGUUGAAGUGGCUAAAUAUAUCUUAAGUAACACAAAUCAUUUGAAGAGGGCUACUUUUUCACGUCAACAAAUCCGUUCUAAAGAUAGGCUUGUGGUGGUCAAUGAUUUGAAAAGUGUUGUCAAGGCUACAAAUUCAUGUCAGUUUCAAUUCAAGUGAUACAUAUAACAAUAAUAUGUUUAGGAGGGUCUUUUUAUUCUCUUUUUAUUUUCUAUGGAUAUAUAUAUGCUUAAAGAUGUUGAGUUUCAAUCUAGCGUUUGGGAAUUAUACAAUCUUGGUGUUUGAGUUUUUGAUUGUAACUAUAUUUUGUUCGCAUUUGGAAGAAGUAAUCAGAAAGAAUGGUAAAAAGAGAGAGAAGUAUCCAAAGCUUCUUGUGAUCACUAUCAUGAUAGUCAUCUGAAUUUUUCCAUAGUUCAGUUUCACUCUAACCUCAAUUUGUAUGAUAUGAAGAAAUGUAAAAAAACCAACUGAAUCAACCGCGAGUAGAUGUGGAGGAAGGUACAUUUGGUGGUAUUAGAAGCUUUUUGACAUCGUUAAACCUUCUUCUUAUUUUAUUUCCUACUGCUGCUUGUGACCUCUUCUUCCCUUUCUGCUGAUCCUUAAUCAAGAACAUUAAUUCCAAAAGCAUUAGUGCGUUACAUAUAUUUGUGGGUUCAUAUUCAAAUACAGUAUGCAUGCCAAAAAAGGAAAAAAAUGUUACAUGCAUAUGAAGUUUGUAUCCGAGUAUGUUACUUGAGUUUUUAUUGUUUUACCAAACUCAACUUUUCGAGCAUUUAAAUUUUGUGUACUAUAUAAUAUAUAUACCUUGUUUUCGUCCGAAAUGUACUUGUUUUGUUGCAAGUCAUCAACGACGUCUUCUACAUAUAUGACAAUUAGUAUGAUCAAUCAAAUGUAGUUAAGAGUUUAGUCCCUUUACUACCAAAAACUAUAUAUAAGAAACAUUAAGACACAAAACGAACUUAACUGUCAUCGUCGUUAGAAUCUCUAGGGAAAACGCAAUAAAUUCGAAAACUUGGAGGUUCAGGCGAAUUUUGUAGCUCGUUUCCUUUCUCUUCUUCAUCUUUACAUUCAUUUUCCUCCUCUUUAAUCGUAUUUUCACCAUUGGUUUUGGAAUUUUUACUAUGUGUUGAUAUGUCGUCAAGAAGUUCUUUAUCAUUCGAUAUGAAUCUAUCAGCAGUUUCGCUAUCUUUACCGAUAGAUCUUCGCGGAGUCAUAAUCUUUAAAUCCUCAGCUUCUUCUCCUCCUCCUUCAUCUGUCUCCGGCCUUGAAACACCACAACCCAUUUUUGUAGGAAAGAACCGGAGAGCAAAGGUAAAGGCAACAAAAGAAAAAAUAGUUAACCAGAGAAAAAGUUUAGUCAGAGGAAGAUAACGUUGUGUCCAUUGACACUAAAGAAACAAGAAAGUCAUCAAAACAUUUUUUAUUUUUCUUUGUAAUUAACCAAACAAAACAAAAGAACCACCAAUUUAAUAGGAGAUUCUUAUCUCUUAAGCUAAAAUUAGUGAACCAAAAAAACCCUUUUUAGUCAAGUAGGUUAUUUAUUGGGUGAUUUACCACCUAACACACUUUAAGGGGGAGAAGUUACGAAAGACACACUUUCCAAUUAUUGUGUACUUUUUGCACUGUUUGUGCCAAAAAAAGACACAAACUGUCCUAAUAAAGUAAAACUGUGUCUCGUCUAUUUCUAAUUGUCGACGUCGUCGUCCGUUUGAUGCGUAACUUCGUUUAUGUUUUAGUUACUAUUAAUUAUAUAAUUUAAUUAACCAAGAAUAUAAUAAACCCAUAAAACGUAGUGGUUUAUAGCUGUUUCGUCUUCUCCAACAUAUAGAGAAUACAAAAUCACGGUAAGUGUCUUCUCUUUUAUGUUAAACUUGAAUAGAGUAAGUGCUUCUGAGUUUUCUCGUUUAUGUUAAACUUGUAUAUACUAAUUUCUCAAUCACUUUGGAUGACAGAUCUAGGUAAGUGCUUCUGAGUUUUUUUUAUUUUUUGUUUUUCGUUUUUACAGAUUUAAAUCGGUAGUGACGAUGCUCUUUGUGAUCAUGUGGAUGAGGGUUUGUGGAUACCAAUGACCUAUUCUGUCCAAAAAAUGCUUCCAAUAAUUCUUAAUACUCUCAUCUUCAACAUUGGAUAGACGAUUAUUGUCCAUAUGUUCACAUGUACAGAGACACACUCAUUUACACUCAUUUUUAUUUAAAUGUUUUUAUGUACAUAUGCACUCAUUUAUACUAAAACAUAUAAAAAGUAAUCACAUGUUGUUAAAAUGUCCAAACACAAGUAUGUAUAUCCAGAAACGAUAUUACAAUUGACCAUCCAAUUAUCAGCGACCAAAUAGUCAACCUCAAAUGGAUAAUAUACAUAAUAUAAUUCAUACGAUGACCUAUUCUGUCCAAAAAAUGAUCAUGUGGAUGAGGUUUUUUGGAUACCGAUGACCUAUUCUGUCCAAAAAAUGCUUCCAAUCAUUCUUAAUACUCUCAUCUUCGACGUUGGAUAGAUGAUUAUUGUCCAUAUGUUCACAUGUACAGAGACACACUCAUUUACACUCAUUUUUAUUGGAAUGUUCUCAUGUACAUAUGCACUCAUUUAUACUAAAACAUGUAAAAAGUAACCACAUGUUGUUAAAAUAUCAAAACACAAGUAUGUAUCCAGAAAUGAUAUUACAUUUGACCAUCCAAUUAUCAGCGAAUAAAUGGUCAACUAAAAAUGGAUAAUAUAUGUAAUAUAAUUCAUCCAAAUAUAUAGUAAAAUGCAUCUUCAAAUAUAAGAAAAAUAGAAAGUUUGAGUAUUGUACAAAAAUAAAUAUAAAAUAUUGUUACAAUAACAAGAUAAAAUGAUUAUAAAAAAGGAUAAAAAAUGAGAAAGAGAAAGAGAGGAAGAAAGGGAAAGAGGAAGAAAGGGAAAGAAUCGAAAAGGAGGAGGAGUAAGAAAAUGAAGAGAAAAAGAACGUAAGUGUUUAGUUGUGUGACAUUUUAGUUAGGAUGGCAAAUGAGUUAAUAUGUUGUCAAAGUGAGGGUGAAAGAGUAAAUAAACUUUUCCAAAGUGCACCAUGAGUUUAUAAGGGGGAGUUAUUGGGAGAAUGAUUUUUAAAGAUUUUUAGAGUUUAAGAUUCCAUUGUUAUUGGUUUAUAGAUUCUUAGAUUCCUAAUAAAAUCUCUUGUUAUUGGUGUAUGUAUUUUGUAAUUCUAUUUAAAAUCCUUUGUUAUUCAAAAAGUUGAGUAUUUAUUGAUUUUCCAAUUCUAUCAAAUUCUAGUGUUAUUGGUUUAAUGAUUCCUUACAUAUUUAGUCAUUAAAAACAACUUUCAAAAUACUGCAAUUCUCACAAGUAUUUAUAGAAUCUAUCAUAUGAAGAAUCUAUUAAACUCUAGAAAUCUGGGUAAACAUUAUUUUAGAAUCCACAAAAUUUUUUGAGAAUCUUAAAAUCUCUAAACUUUAGAAAUCCAUAAACUCUUUUAAAAUCAUCCUCCCAAUAACCCCCCCUAAGUGUGUCAUCGUGUAAUUAAACUUUUGAAAGUGUGUGCACACGCAAUUAACCCUUAUUUAUUCCAUAUCUUUUCAUAGCAAACCCCGCUAAUCCCAAAACCAUUCCAAGAUAGAAAAAUGUUGGGGAAGAAAAUCUUAGAAAAAAACCAUAAAACCUCUUUAAGAAAAACCCUUAAGCUAGAUGAAGAAAAGUUGAUAUCAUCACUUAUACUUCUCUUCGGUUUAAAUGUCUUUUAAGAUCUUUAAUGCAUAUUUUUAAAAUUAAAAGUUUCAGUUUAUACUUUAUAGUUUUAAACUUUUGAUGUUAAUAAUCAGAAACUUAUGAAGUGAAAGAAGAAUCACUAGUUGGUUGGUGUAGUGUUACACAUGAUGAUAAAAUGACUAAGUCAGUUGAUACAGAGAAAAAUUACUGAUUAGUCUUCAGUUAAAUUGGCUAGGCCAUGGUGUUGUAGUAUCUUCUUUAGUUACAAAAAUUGGUUUUGUGUUAAACUAAAAUACAACAACAACAUAAUUUUUUGAUUUUCUUGCUUUUAUAUUUUGACAUAACCGAUAGUUUUAUUUUAAAAACGACAAGAACACAAUAUGUUAAAAAAAAAAAAAAAAAAAGAAGAGAGCCAAAUCAAUGAAUGAGGAAGAAGGAGAAGCAGAGCAAUCGGCGCAUUAAUGGCGAAAAACAAACGCCAUUAAUUCACCUUCUUCCCCACUCUCUUCCUUUCAUUUAUUGCUCCCUCUCUCUCUCUCUGACCCUCUCUCUCAUUUCUUUUUUUUUUGUUCUACGUGCAAUUCAGAACAUUGAUUUCAUGUCAGGCCGUAAAAUUUCAAAAAACAAACUCCAAAAAAAGUCAAGUUUACACGACGAACAUACAGAAACAGAAACCCAUGACUGUCUUUUACCCUUUUCACUAAUCUAUUGCCAAAUCCUUAACUUGGGUUUAUCUAAAGGCACGACCUUUAAUCAUGGGUUUAUCUAAAGGUACGACCUUUCAAUCUUGGGUUUAUCUAAAGACACGACCUUUCAAUCAUGGGUUCGAUCGAGAUUUUGAUUCUAAUCCUAAUUCGAUAUUCUUGCAUCUCAGAGUCUUCUCUUGGCUUUUGAUUCCCAGCUCCCUUGUGGUGGAUGGUGAUGAUGGGUUUAUAGGGUUAGGUUUGGGUUUUGGUGGGGGAGCUGAACAAACUGGGAUCACUGAUCUGAUGUGAACAGCUGGAGCUAGUUUCUGAUUGUUUAACCCAGAAAUUGAAAACGGCAAAAGCUUACUGUAGUAGGAUUUCUCCAGUGAUGAUGAUAAAGGAGACGAUUUGAUUAUCAUCUCUGUCUUAGGGAUGGGAUAAUCUGGGCUCUGUUUCCUCUCUGCGUAUUCUUGACACUUCUCUAGCAAUGAUUUGACUUUGGAUUCUUGUUGUGGGAGAUUUGUUCUUGAAGGCCAGAAUCUCGGUGGUAGUGGUAGUGAUGGUGAUGGUGAUGAAGAUGAAGCUUUAUUGGUAUACAGAUUGAUCGAUCCGAGUUUCUCACACAACAAGUCUCUUGUGGUUGUUGUUGUUGUUGUGUUUUGACGAAUUGUUCUGAUGACUGUUCUUCUUCUUGACUGGUUUGGUUCUCUUCUUUUCACUUCUUUGGGUCUAAAUCUUGAGAGGACUCUUGCAACUACCUCUUGUUCCUUCUCUUCACCUCUCAGCGGGUCCAAGCUUGGCACUGUGUGUGAAUAUGUAAAAUGAGAGACAUAACAACUAAGAUUGAGUAAAAAUAAUUGGAGUUUUGAGGUUUUGUUUUGGGUACUUUUUCUCAAGGAGAACCAAGCUGAAAUGGCUGCAUUCUUCUCAGCUUGCUUCUUAGUCUUUGCUGAUUCUCCCUUAAAACUCAUUCCAGCAAGCUCCACAGUGCAAGAGAAUGUUGGGAUGUGACCAGGUCCUGAUCUCACACUUGUGUAAACCGGUAGAUCAAGACCAGCUCUAUGUGCUGUCUCCUGAAGCAGAUUCUUGUAGAUCCCAGUCUCAUCCUUGGAGAAACAACCAAACAUCAUGAGCACUUUGGAAACAUGAGAAAAAACUUUGCAUGCUUUAAGGGAGGGAACUAAAGACUUACUAGAACCUUAGCAGUUAGAGAUUUUGAAGGACCCUUGGAAGAGAGAGCACAAAGAGCAACUUCAGCAGCUGAAUGCUCAGCUUGUCUGAGAGUGGAACAAUAAGUCGGGCUUUCAAAUAUCUCACCAUUGAAGUUUACACUAGCUUUGAAUCUUGGAGCAUGAUCCGGUCCUUCUCUUGUGCAUGUAUAUGAUGGGAGAUUGAAACAACUUCUCUGUGCUAGCUCUUGCAACUGAUUCUUAUACAUCUUUUUGAGACCUUUCAAAAAAAAAAGCAGAGAGAUUGAGAAAAAGAGUUAAAGAGCAGUAGAGUUUGAAACCCCAACUCUAUCAGCUAACAAGGGUUUAAAGAGAAGACAAAGGAAACCCACCUGCAUAAAUUGGUAUUUAAGAGUUGCUGUCUCUUAUAUAAACAGAAGAGUUUGUCUCUAUCAUGUGAUGGACCCUUAAGCCUCCACAGUGUUCAAGGGAGAGAGAGAGAGAGAGAGAGAGAGAGAGAGAGAUAGCAAAAAUACAAGAAACUCACUCGGUUAAGUUGCCAUUGAAGGCUUUUGGUGUAAUGAGUGUCUAAAUGAAAAAAAAAUUAGGGCUCUCUGAUGUUGAAAGUGAAUUUAGAGAACUGAGAGGUAAAGUUGAAAAUAAUAGUUUCAGAGGUUUUAGAGCUCUCUCACAUGGUGGUUCUAUCACAAGUAAGGUUCCUAAUAAAGAGGAGCAGAGGCUACUAAAUGAUAACAGUGACAUUUCAAUUGAACUAUGGUCCAUUGUUAUAUAAUAUUAUGUCUCUGUGUGUUCUGUCUUUUGGUCCACAUGUCCUAAUAAUUCAGUUUCAGCUUCUUGAUAAUAACAGAGAAUUUUUUUUUUGUUUCUAUAUAACAUUUUUUCUCUUCUACCUUAAAACAUAGAUCUCUGGUUAAAUGUAUUAACAUGGCUAACAGAAAAGUAGAAAAAAACAAAUCCAGAAGAAGCUCACUCAUACAAACAACACACCAAUUCAACCUUUGCUUACCACAACAAAGCCAACCUAACCCCACACAAAACACUUUCCAAAUUAAGAACAUUAGCAAGUUCUUACCCUCCCCAAACCACAAACCACAAGACUGGUUUUAAGCUGAAUAAUCCAAAAAACACAUUUGAAAAAGCAAAGAAAAAGUAACUCCCCUCAGAUUUUCUCUAAACCUGUAAUCACCAUACCGAACUUUGGCUCUGUUCUUUCUUCCUUCCGUUAUAAACCGUGUAUUCAUUUAUGUAGGCCGGUUCUCAGUUACUAAACCACCUCCGCUGCUGCUUCCUCCGCCGUUCUGGUUUUGUUCUCCUACUCUGGCUGCUAAGGCCAUAACUUCUGGUGACAUGUCCCAGCUUCCGCUUUUCCUUCCCCAACUCGAGCGUCUUGGGUGCAUACCCGGCCUAUCACUCUGUUCAUCAACUGUUGUCCUAAUGUCUGGAGAUAGCUCGCCUAACUCACCGUCCUUAACAUGUAACCGCUCAUUGUUGCCAUGUUUACCGUCACCAUGAUCUGACAUUGCUGGACCCAUGUCUGCCCAAACAGCCUUCCUUCCCAUUUCAAUGUCAUCAUUGGCUUUACCCAUGUUUGGACUCAUAAAACCGCCAGCUACGGAUCUAGGAGGCAGCGGAGGUUCACGCUGGACCAUAGCUCUGAAGUCAUUCUUUGAAGGAGGGAUUGUGGAACAAAACGUUUCUUUAAAGUUAUUAACCACUCCCUUGUUAUGUGGGUUGUUUCGCCGAUCAUAUCUGUAACGGAAAUUCUCAUAUGUAGUCUGCAUUAAACAAAGGAAAAUCAACUGUUACAGUGAUUCCGAGUUUUUAAAAUAGAGGAAUCAUGAUUGGAUUGGUAGCAACAUACCUGGUUCGUGCUGAUGAGAUAUAGAUGGAACACUGUUAAGCCACCAACAAACCACAUUGAUAUGAAUGUGUAUAUUAUCAGAACAAUGGAGGCAGGAGUUUUAAGCAUUGCCUUCCAAGUGGUUGUAUGCUCUGAAUCCGUAAUCUUUCUUAUAUAGACCCAGCAGAAGGCAAACACAUAUAUACAGAGAAGUGUCGUUGAGAAGACAAACAUGAAGAAGAAUCGAUAGUUCCUCUGCAACAACCAUCAGAAUAUGAGAUGAUGGUUAACGUGGAUAGUUUAAAGACAGUUUCAGUUGAAUUGUGACUUACCAUCCCAAUACAUUGGCCAACCCAAGGGCAGUGAUGGUCAAACCUUUCUACACAGUUGUUGCAAAUAGAGCAAUGAGAGCAUCGAGGUGGCCUAUAGAGCAUGCAAGUGUCACAGUACUUGACCUUAAAUGUGACUCCAUUAAGCUGUACUUCCUUAAUGCGAGGCAGUCGCAGCUGCGGAGUCUGGCCAGCCCCUGCAUCCAUGUUACCAUCAAGAGCUUCAGGCUCUGGAGGAUGAGCAUUUCUUGGGAUAAUACCUGGAUCUCUUCCGGAUGUAAGCAGCAGAAGAAUUAAAUCCUGAGGAAAGAAACGGAAUCAUAUGGGAAAUCAAAAACUUGGUGGAUACAAAAUGAAAGCAUCAGCUAUAGAGACCAUCUGCAAUGCGAGAAAGAGUAUACUUACAUAAAUGGUGAACACAACGGCGACAGCUACUAUUGAUACUCCCCAGCUAUCGGAGAAGUCAUUAAUUAGCUUCCUUGCGACAAAGAUGCAGAAAAUUGUAACAGGUACAGCAAUGAGACAAAUGGUCAGCGCCAGUGAUCUUACAUCUGGCCCAAAUACAAACCUUCCCUGAAGAAAGAAUAUCUGCAACAAAGGAAACGUUAAUCCAAACUGAAGGAAGAAACUUUAACACUCCAGUAGAGAAACUACAGGAAUUAAGCAUUUCUCAAUAACAAGAAUCAUCUAAAAAAAACAUUACUCCACUGACAGAUGAACACACUCAAAGGGCAGGGUAUUCAAAACCUCCUUAUAAACAAGCGUCAACUAUAUAAUCUCAAAGCAAAGUAACUCAAUCCAUCAUUGAGAGCUAUAUAUAGAUAAAGUAAUUAAGCCUUGUAAAACCAUUCCACCUCAAAAAGCUUCUACAGCUUAUGCCCACCAAGAGGAAACCAAUGAAAACGACAUCAAAAUCUAGGAUUAUCUAAAAGGCACUAGCUAGAUUCUCCAAAGUUUUCUACACAAACCAAGUUCCAAUAUGAACUAGGUUUGAAAUUGGGACAUAGCUAAUCAGACCCCCAUUAACAAAACAAAAACUUUCCCACGAAAUAGACUCCCUCGAGAAGAACAAAACCAGAAGAUGCUUAAGAAUAUGAAAAAACCCAACUAAAAAAAAAAAAAAAACUCACAUUGCUGCCUUUCCAAGUUUGGUAAACCCUUAAAUCACCAUUCGAUCCAGAAUCAGAUCGCUGAGGCGGAGGCACUACAUACAUCUCUCAACCUCAAUUUAUACUACUUCAAUCUCUCUUUCUCUCCACGACGGCGUCACCAAGAGCUAAGCUUUAUAAAACCAGUAAGUAAGAAAACCCCAAAAAGGGAAGAAGGAGAGAAGAAGAAGACUAAGUCUCCGGCGAAAGGAUAACUCAGAUUUCCGGCGAAGUAAGCCGACAAGGGCACGAGUAAGCCAGCGAAAAAGAAGGGUUUUUUUUUUUUUUUGCCUACUCGUCUUCUUCCCCCAAUAUCAAUGGUGGGUUCCUUCACCCAUUUUUUUCCUCACAAAAAAAAUUUAUAACUAAUAAAGAAACUGUGACCGUCGUUUUAUUUUUAAUUUCUAUCUUUCUUAUUUUGACAGCGGGAUGAAUAAAAAGUAACAGAAGCUGACGUGUUAUUAUUUCAUUGGUUCCUCACUUAGUAAAACGCAGUCAAAAUGAUAAGUGAACUAUGUCUCUUUCGUCAUUUCGUUAUAAUAAUUUUUAAAAAUAAGAAUUUGAUUAGGCAAAUAUAAUUGUGAUUAGGCGUGGAUUAGAUUUGUGGUAUGUGGUUUGGUUAUGGACAUAAUCUGUUUGGGUAUGCCUUUUUGGGUGGAAAUUUUUUUUCACUGUUUGAGGUUUCUUAAAAAAUUUUGAUUUGUGUUUGGUUUAGUUCCAAGUAUAUUAAAAUUUCAGACAAAUCUAAUAAAUAGUUAAAUUCGCAUAAAAUAUAGUUUGAUUUUGGCAAACACAACAUAUAAAUUGAUUAAUAAUAAUUUUAGUUUUUUCAUCUGAAUUUAAUUGUAAUUUUAGAUAACUAGAUUAUAAAAUAUAGUUAAUAUAUUUUAGGUAUAGUAGUAUUUCAUAUAUAUGUUCAAUUCUUAGUUUGAAUUAUAUUUCGACUUCUGGGAUAUAAAAUUUUAGAAUUUGAUCCGAUAUUUUAUUAGUUAGGAAUUAAGUUUGGUUUUUUCAGAUUUGGUUUCAGUUUGAUAUUUUGACUCAAAAAUAAUUUACUUAAACAUAUAAUAGUGAUUUUCUCUUUUUGGAUUAGAAAAAGAAAGUGAUUAUGAAGUAAGAAAAUAAUAAUGUUAUCUUUUUAAAUCUCGAGGGAAAAAGCUGGAAAGAAGAAAAUGAUGACAGGCAACAUAUAUCAUGCAAUAUAGGGAUGGGUUAUGAUGGACUCAACCUUCUUAUGUAACAACAAACAUUACAAUAUUCUUUAAGCCUUAAAAUUCUGAAUUUUACCACAAGUGGACCUAACAACAACAUGUCUAUUUAAAUGAAUUACUUAAAAAACCAAAUUGAAAUUUGUUUCUAAAACCGAUUAGUAUAGCUCUUUUAUAAUAUAGAUUUCUGGCAAAAACUUAAAGGUCGCCGGUUCGAGUAGCGCUUGGGACGAAAUCAUAUAACAUGCUAUAGUUUCGGGGUUGAGGGGAAGUAUGGGCUUCGGUCCAGAAUCUUUUUUUUUUCUUUUAACUCUUAAUUUAUUAUUUAUUGCAAAUUAUGAGAACUGUUAUAAUGACGAUUCUACUACCGACAAUUCUGCCGGACCCUUUUAGAUUCACCACAUAUUACACCCUUCCAUGACGACACAUUUCUUCUCCAUGCGUAGAACAUUAAAAAAAAAAAAAACAAAAAAAUCUGCUACCGAAUUAAAUAAGCUAAAGUUAUUAAAACCAAAAUCAAUUCAAUUGUCAUGAAUAAAUAGAGGACUAGAAAUUUCAGUCAAUUUUAAGUUUCGAAAAAGAAAGAGUAACACUAAGCAAAUAAAAACAACUUUCUUCAUCUUCAACUCUUUAAAUUAGGACUCGGCGUUGCUGUUGGCUGAGAGCCUCGCCUACACUUAUCAGCCCAAGAUAAAGCCUCUUCCAAGACUCUCUUCCUCUCAAGAAUGUCACUUUCUUCUUCAAUAACAUCCAUCUCAGUCGAUGUCCCCGCCCUAUUAGUAUCGACUCUUCCUCCACGCCUAUGUAUCCUUCCCCUCAACGAGUACUCAAUGAUGUAAUCUAGACUAGUCACUACUUCGGUGAUCACUGGUCUAGCGUUUGCAUCUUCAUGUAGACACUUUAAGGCCAUUUGAAGAGUUCUUUCCAUCAGUUUUUUCGAGAAACCGCCUUUUCUUGAUAACUUUGGAUCUACAAUCUGAUCCAUAUGAUUAGCCCUUGACAACGUUCGUGCCUGUUAAAAAAAAAAAAAACAAGAAACACUUACAAGGUCGUUAUCAAAAUCAGAAUAUUAAGGUCAUCAUAGUCAAAACAUUCUUAUAUGGUUAUAGUCUAAAAGAAGCAAAAGUACUAAAUAAAUAGUCAUAAAUAAAACCUAAUCAUUUCUUUAAAGACUCAGAGCGUUACCCAAUGCACAAGAUAGCGACUCGACGUAUCAGUGCAGUCGCAUGAGUCCAUGAGAGCUUUGCGUCCAGAGAUAAGUUCCAACAGCACAACUCCAAAGCUAUAGAUAUCAGAUUUCGCAGUCAACUUCCCGCUGUAGGCAUACUCUGGUGCACAAUAACCAUGAGUUCCCAUAACUCUAGUAGAGACAUGAGACAUAUCUUUACUCGGACCAAACUUAGCAAGACCAAAAUCAGAGAGCUUUGCGUUGUACUCAUCGUCUAGCAAUAUGUUGGAAGCUUUCAAAUCUCUGUAUAUCACAGGAUUUUCUGCUUCAUUGUGAAGAUACGCUAGCCCUUUAGCCGCUCCUCUAGCUAUCUUUAUCCUCGUGAUCCAGUCUAAACCCUCUUGAUCAUCUUUGAGAUCUGACAAAACACACACAUAACAACAACAACAAACAAAAUAACAGGUUUUGAGAUAUACGUAAACACUUAUAAACUUCUUAUUGACUUUAUUUUUUUUAAGAUUUUGUGUUUUUUUGUACCAUGGAUGUGAUCUUCUACAGAUCCAAGAGGCAUAUAUUCAUAGACAAGGAGCCUCUGGUCGCCUUCAGCACAAUAACCAAACAAGUGCACGAGGUUUUCGUGGUGCAAGUACGAUAGCAUUAGGACUUCCACAAGAAACUCUUUGUCUCCUUGAGGACCAGAAUUGUCAAGCAUUUUAACAGCUACUUUCUUUAAUUAAGACCAACAACAACAACAACAAAGAACAUACAGUUUUAGAGAUUUCACAGUUUCUACAAUGACAAGAGCAAACCACACAAAGGUUAUAGAUUUUUUAGUUACCUCUCCAGUGUCUAGCCUUCCUUGAUACACAGGUCCGAAUCCACCUCUUCCAAUCAUAGAGGUAUCCCUGAAGUUUUUCGUCGCUGUGGCGAGUUCUUGAAAUGAGAAAAUCCGACAUCUGUAUUCAGCAGCAUCUCUCACGGUUUCUAAAGCUCUUUCUGGUGUGACAACAAAGGAACAAAACAACACAAUGAGAACGAGACUCUAUUAUCACAUGUGAUUGGAUCAAGUGCAUUAAAGAGACAUUGAUUACCCAACAUAAACAAAUCUUACAUAUAUAAUCCAUUAAAACUCUCUAUCAUCAAUUACUUAAUCUAAUCAAUGGUGUUAAAGAUUCACUAAUCUCAAGAUUAAUUAAUAAAAGACAAAGAUUUUAUGAGAGGAAGUGAUUAGAGAGGAACCAGAAGAUGACGACGAGGAUGACUUGUCAAGUUUGGGUAUCAUCUUAUCAGACUUGUCAAGUUUGGAUUUAUUAUCAGACUUGUUUGUGAGGUUCUUUUUCCGACCGGGUGCAAAACAAAAGCAACAAGGCAUCAUGGUUUCUCUAAUUGAAAUCAAAACUCAAGGGAAGAUAAACGAAGACACACACACACAAAAACACAAACUCUCUACGGUUUUGUCAAUAGGGCUUAAUAACGGAACAACAUUGAGAUUCAGACACGAAGACAGAGAUGAAUCAUACGAACAAACCCACAAAACACGAUCAAGAGAUUCGAGUUUUGGGGAUGACGAGAGAUGAUGAUAAGGUAUAGAGAGAAGGAAAGGGAUUUGGGGUUAGAAAACGAGAGGGGGUUUAUGUGAAUUAGAGAGAUAAGAUUUGGAUUACGGAAAGAGGAAAUCAAAGAUUUGAAGGGUUUUUGAUAGGGUAAGCGUAAGGUAAGACACGUAAUCCACAAACUUAAGCAUGUGUUUGAAAUAAUAUGUUACGUUGCACCAAGUCACUUAUUUAUUGUGUAACAUUUAGCUCCCAAAGGCAUAAAAUUAUAUUUUGUUUGAGAGGGUAAUAAUAUCUUGUGGUAUUAAAAAGUUUUCUAGGAAGGCUAUCCUUUAAAAUCUCCACAUAUUUUGUGUAUAUCUAUUGGAUUAUGAAAUUAUUAUACUGUUUGUAUUUUAACAGAAAUUUUAAUUUUAUUUGUUUCGCAUGCUAAAUAAACGCGGCAAAAUGAACAUAUUAUAAAAAUAUAUAAACAUAUUAAUAUAUCAUAAUAAAAGAUGUCAUGAAAGUGUAAGCAUAUUAAAAAAAUGAAGCUUAAACAGUCAUACUUGCCAUGUAUUUGGAAAAUAAUCUAUAUAUUAUAAGUUUAUAACAUGAGUUUUGUGAUUCUUGACGAUUACGAACUCAUGGUUCUUGAGGAUUACGUCAUAUCAUAAUCAACAAGACAUGGGCCGUUUUUGUACAAGAUAGCUCACAAGACAUUGGCCGUAUUUUUUCACAGGCCUAAACUCAGGAAUAAGCGCGUGUCUUUCACGUUUAGAGAACCUUGCGAACCAGACGCGCGUGGAUGCGGUUUCGCCAUAAAACACUCUUUAGCAGAGAAGCGAGAGUCAAUGAAGGUCCAACGGUCAACUUUUUUAGCGGUGACCGGAAAAUCAAAUCUUCGUCACUUUCAUUUGUCUUCCUCUCUGUUCUCUGCGUCUUCAAAAUAAAUAAAAAUCGUUUCUUUUGCUAUUGCAGAGAAAAAAAUCUGAACUUUUUUCUAUAAUUUUCAAAUGCGUUAGGGGGAUAAUGUUUUCACAGUGUCUUAAUCGAUUUCAGCGAGUACCCAUUUCUUCCGAGAAAGAGUCACGAGGCUUUGUAUCCAAAUUGCUCAAGUCCUGCAUCUCCAAUUCAGCAGAUUAGUGUUUCUUCUUCUGCUAAAGGAAUCGAAAAAUUCUCCUUUUCCAACAACACUCGUCCGCACCUCGGAGAUGAGAUGUCAAAGAAAGAGCAAGAAAAAAUCUUCUUUUUACAUUCUGAGAGAUGAUCUUUUACAUUUCACUUGUGAUUAGUAACAAAGCUAGAAAGCUUGAUGCUUUGCUACCAAGAUUAUAAAGUCACUGAUUUGGUGAGAGUGUGAUCUCUUUUACAUUAUCUCUCAAUUGGGUUUUUUAUGAACAGGAUUUUUUUUUUUUUUGAACAAACGAACAGGAUUUUAACCUUAGAACUUUUGUUGUAUGUUAGGCUACAUGUGGAGGUUGUCAAAGUGCACACACAGCUGCAGUUGGUAAAUGUUUGAAUCUUUUAGAGGAUUAAAUGAAAUUAGGUUUUGAUUGAAAUAGAAACCAGGUGCUUGUAUUGCAGCUGUUUCGUGUGCCGAGAGGGGUCUAAGAUCAUUUGCUGCUGCGUGGAGAACAGCCCGAGGUUUUGACUGGUUAUAACCUUGUUUCUACUAUGUAUUGAAAUGUUCAGUAUAUUCCGAGAUCGAGGUAUGCCAAUAGGGAGGAAAUGCUGAGAACUUACGCUGAUCUGGUCGCUGGGGAAGACGGUUCUGUCUUAUGGGCUAAAGACAUUGUUGAGGGACCUGAGACUAGGGAUGUUGCAAAAAUGGAUGAUUGUUCUAGUUCCAAAACUAUUGGUAGAAAUGUUUUGAUCGUUAAUGAAGGUGUUGGAGAUGCUCUUGAAUUACUCGGUAAAGAUCGAUUUUGGAUAUAGUUUAGGUAGUGGACCAGAUAACUGACCAAGUUUAUCGUUUAACAAGGGCUUUGUCACAACGCAGGUAUGUUUCUGUUAGUGCAGUACUUGUGUCAAGAUCAUUUACUCGGGAAGAAGAGGCCGGUCAAAUUUGUAGUUGAUGCUGGAACAACUACUGUGGGCUUAGGAGUUGCAGCUUUGUCUUUAGGGUUAGGCUUUGUUCACAAGAUUUAUCUAUACACGUUGUGUCUGUAUGUUUUCAGUGUACGUAAGCUUUUAGCUUCUUGAUUAGUAUCUCACUUAAAAUCUUCUCAGGCUUCCAUGGGAGAUCAAUGCAGUGAUGUUAGCUGAUACACUCGAAAAUUACAGAAGACAUGAAGAUCGCUUGAUAGCAGAAUUUACGAGGCAGUUUUCUGCAUCGGUCUUCUACAACAGCUUGGAUGUGAAUCAUAUGAUCAAACGGGUAGAUCGUCGACAUACGAGAAAGUAUGCAUGCAACUUCUUCUGUUUACAAUUGAAGAUAUACUUAGAAUGAUCAUUUCCACCAAGUUUGAAGCUUAAUAAAGUGGUUGGACUGAUUGUUUUUAGAUCAGUUAACAAUCUCCUUUUGUUCUUGCAGGUUUGGGAAGGUCUUGGAAGGAGAAGUGGAGAUGUGUCGGAAAGUUGCACAGGAGACUGGAGUUUUGGUGGAUCCAAUGUACACUUUAGCUGCUUCGGAGACAGGAAUAGAGCUUGCGCAGGAUGAGAAAUCCAGCAUUGUAGUGAUGCUUCACACUGGAGGCACCCUGGGGAUGUUUGGUCUUGCUCAACGCUACAAAUCUUGCUUCACUAAGUUCAACGACUAGGAUAUAAAUUCUCAAACUUAGAGCCAGAAGUCUAAAGAUAGUUACUUUAUAUCUUCAAGUGUUUAGCAAUGAAAAUAUGCAGUACGUAUGGAUGCAAAGGAGCAAAUAAGUAUGAAAGAAAUGAAUAGAUGCAUGAAUAUAUGUAUGUAUAGAUGCAUGUAUGUAUGUUAUGUGUGUGUAUGUGUAUGUUUAUGUAUGUAUGUAAUGCAUGUAUGUUAUGUGUGCGUAUGUGUAUGUUUAUGUGAUUUUUGCCGGUGUUGUGUCUGGCUUCGAUAAGUGAUUUGGAAGAUUCCACGAAGAAUCCUAUGGUCUAUGAAAUUAGACCACAUAUCACAUCAGACUGUGAAAUCUGCAACUACUUCAGAUGAUAAAUUGACUUUAAUGUCAGAUUCUAUGACCAUGUGCUAUAUUGAAGAGAACAUCAAAUUAUUGAAGCAAACUCACAAGAUCAAGCAUAAGUUAAAGAUCGAGGACAUAUACCUUGGGAGGAACUUGCUCCUCUGCUUUGUGAGUGAGUAGUGAGUACACUACUAACUUUGUGAGUAGUGAGUACUUCUACGCAUUAAAAACAAUAUAUACUAUAGAGUGAACACUUAAAGAAAAUUAGAGUUGAAAUUACUAUAUUGAAGAAGACUUACCUCACGAUAGACAAAGCCAGUCAAAAGAGAUGGGUAGAUAUUCUCCAUAUACAUAUGAUCAGUUGCUUAAAAAUAUCAGCACUAUCUAUCUCAUCGCCUGAAAAUUAUUAUCCUGACCACCUAUCAUAGACAAAGCUAUAUCAUUAUCACAGAGCUUAGACAACAGAAACGGGAACUAUAUAUCGAAAGAAGAGAACAAAAUUGUUUGUGACUGGUUUAAGUGAUGGCCUGCUAACUUAGAUGCUCACUUUUUUUGUGAUUGGGCCUGCAGAGAUUUGAGCUCAACAUGUAGUAGAUACAUAGAGUAGCUUGUGUAUCAACAAGAUAGAUUGGCAAAUCAAACUCAUCACUUACCGUACAACCAUUUCUAAAGAAAUUUCAUGGUCCUCUGCUUUGUGAGUUAGAUCUAGAAGCCCAAUUCUGAGAUCAACCAUUCAUUCAGAAAACAUAGUAAAAUGAACUCUAAGAAAAUAUACGUUGCAACUACUAUAUAUUGACAAAGACAUACCCCAUGAAAAAAGUCUAGACUGCCCAAAGGAUAUGGGAUUUUCACCAUAUAUUGGCAAGUGAUCAUUUAUCUCAAAGUCCAGAAAUACUUGAACACCUAUCAUAGACAAAGAUAUAUCACUAUCACAGAGUUUAUGCAACAGAAACGAGAACCAUAUAUCAGAAAGAGGAGAGCAAAGUCCUUUGAAUUUUUAUUUUUUGUUUUGUGAUUGGAUCAGCAAAAAAAAUAUCAGAUUUGAGGCCAUCAAUUAGAUAUGCAGAGUAAACCUGCAGAAACCAAAAACAUUCAGCAGAGCACUUUUCCCUUUUACAUACAACAACUUAAGCAAUCAAGCAUAAACCUAUUCCUUAGUUAAGGAAACAAGUAAGAAAGCCAGUUUAAGAAGUAAGUAAGAAUGGAAGAAAUGAACAAGCACACAAGCAUGAAACGGAAACAAGAAAGUAUAUAUGCAUAUAAAAAAAACAUAUUAAGGGACAAAAGCAAGUAAGUAAGCAAAGUAAAAGGACUGAAGCAAACAAAAAGCUGGUAACCGCACAAAAUAAAAAGCCAAGCAACCAUGAUGUCUGUAUUUAUUCGAUGCAGGCAUACUUUUACUGUUUCAUUAAGUGAUUUGAAAGAAUCCUAUAUGUAAGCUCACAUAGUCACACUAGACUAUGAGCUCUCUCACUGCAAAGGAAAGAGCCAAUAACAUCAAACCGUAAGAAGAAUAUCAAAAGAAGAAUAACGUACCUCGAGAAAUGCAAGACCUUUCUAGGGAAUGAGGCUGUGUUUCUUUCCACAAGUUAACACACUAAAGAAAUUUAAUCAGUAUAAAUGAGAAACCAAACACUAGAAUCAGUCUCUAAAACAAAUAUACAGAUUCAUAUGCAUUGAGAAGAAAAAGCCAGUUCUUUAGUGAUUUCUUCACUUCUUUAAUUAAUUCAUGAAUAAUAUCCCACAUUUAGAAAACAGAACAUUUAAUCACAUGUAGACUGAUCAAACUACAUACCUUUCAAGGAAGAGUUAAUAUAUGAAUCCAAAACAUACCUAUACUAUUAAAUAGUAGUUAGCAAAUAGGAAAUCUUAAAGAAGCUAUACUAACCACGAAUAAUCUCAUUUUUGGCUACGCUAUUUAAAAGGUGAUACGGAUACUAAUAUAGCACCAACAUAAGAAUUGUAGCGAAGAGAACCUUCAGUGACAGCCUUCUUGUCAUAUCAUUUGGAGAUGUCAAAAAGUCUUUUCAUAAAUAUCAAGAACUCAAAGAAACAUAAAUAAUCCGUCAGCUAAAGGAGGAGAAGGUUUUUAAAUGUUUCUUUCAUUUUGUUAUAGGAUUUAUAUAACCAGGAAUAGACUUCUCAUGUCUCCAUCUAAACCUUAAAACAAUACUGAAGCAAACCUCAAUAAUGAACGGUGAGAAACUCGGAGACUACAAAGUCAUGUUUUGUGAGAAGAUCCUGCAAGAGUGGUAAGAAAUUGAUGUAUAAAUUAGCAAAAUCCUAAACAAAGUCGAAGUCAAUGAUAAAGUGUAAAAUAACCUUAAAUGAUGAAAAGGAAUCAGAAGCAUAGCAACAUUAAAGUUUGACAAUUCCUCAUAGCAGGCAGACUCCAAAAUAUAACUGAAGAGGCACUACAAAAAUUUGACCAUGUCAAAAAGAAUAAAUCUUGACUAUUGCACGUACAUGAACUCAUUAAAACAGCUUUGGAAAACACAUUGAUAACCUUGAAACGGAAAAGCAAAAUAUUGGAGUUAUCUUACUUAGCUAGCCUUGUGAAUUCUAUACUUCUACAAGAUAACAUUUUCAUUAGAACUUGAAACCAAAUAUGUAAGUCCUCGUUCUUAAAUCAACUACCACCACACAUUAAGAAUAAUAUAUAGUAAAGAGUGAACUUUUACGAAAAAUGAUAAGUUGAAACUACUACUUACCUCAGAUAGCCGAAGACAGUCAAGACAGAUGGGUAGAUGUUCUCCAUCUUCCAUAUAUUGAUGCAGAAAAAUAUCGGCACUGAUCAUUUAGCUCAUUGUCUAACCAUUAUCCUGAUUAUCUUUCAUAGACAAAGCUAUCAUUAUAACAGAGCUUAUACAACAGAAACGAGAACUAAAUAUCGAGAGAGGAGAACAAAGUUCGUUGUGAAUGGUUGAAGUCAUGGAGUGCUAACUUACAUACUCUUUUUAUAAUUGGGUCAGCACAUAAGUUUCACACUGGAAGUCAUCAAGUAGAUACGCAGAGUAAACCUGCAAAUAUUUUUUUUCAUCAGAUCAUUUAUCCAGUGUAAACACAACACACCAAACAAGUAUGCAUUAAACCAUCAACAUCUUCCCAUUCAAAGUAGUUCGAACACAUCUCCAAGGAUUCCAAGAACGAAAGUCUUCAUAAUAAAUCAGAAUCGCGGGUCAAUCUGCACACAUCAAGCUAAAAGAAUAAAGGUAAUUGUCAACGGUUUGUUGUUAUUGACACAUUUUAUGUAAGAUUCCCGCUGAAAGAACUAUGGUCAUCAUUUCACACUUACCCUUACCAUUUUUUGUAAUUUCUCUCUAUCUUGCCUUUUGAACAACAACGUUUGCUAUGUCUGCAUACGUAAUACAACAGAACUGUUUGGGAAGUAAAUAAUUUAGCAGAGUAAUCUACAUCAUGCAGUUUAAAUGAAGAAUCCAUUAAAAAAAAAUACCAUGAAGAAACCCCAACAAGCGAGCUAGAAAGUAGUGUAAGGAGAGGAUACUCACUUGUUACUUGCUGGAGAAGAGAGGCAAGAACUUCAAACUACAUGAGAAACAAAACUACAGCAUAAAGAUUGAAGACAUACCAUAUGAAGUCAAAGGUGAUAACUAAUAAGCAAGAGAUCAAGAUCAAGUUGAUAGGACAGAGAGGGCUAUUAUAUUCAUUUCACACCUUUUAUCGAUAGAGAUUUCCACUUUAGUCUGCAAGAAGACAGUGUGGAAAGCUGAUUUCAAUACAAAUUGUUAGGCAACAGAUACAAAAGCAUUGAAAACUGCAAACCUGAAAACAACUGAAGAAUUCAUAUUUAAUUUUUACCUUCACAUUAAUAAUGUCAAAGUUGGUUUGGCUGUCAUGAGUAGUCUAAGAACUACAAGAAAUGGUUGGUUAGCAUCAUAACUGUUGAGGUGAUAUUUUGGGUAAAACUUGGAACUAAAUAUGUCCUAAUAAGUCCCUUCUGUUGUAUGUAUGGUUUUUGGUUCUUAUAUAAGAUUUACGAAUAUAAAAUGAAGUAUUAGAAGACAAACCUAAGAUCGUAAGAAAUUAACUUGGGUACAAACAACCAACAAGAGAGAGGCAAAUCAGAAUUCAUUACGCACCAUACAAACUAUUCUAAAGGAGUUAUAUACAUCUCCUCUGCUUUGUAUGUUAGAUCUAGAAGCUUCUUUCUGAAAACGACCAUUCAUUCAAAACACAUAGCAAAUUGAAUUCUAAGAAACAAUAAGUUGAAACUACGAUAUUGACAAAGACAUAUCCCUCUAAGAGGCGUCAAAGCAGAUGGAUAGUUUUUCCAUAUAUUGAUACUAGAAAGAUUUGCAAGUGAUCACUUACCUCAGAAUCUAGUGACUAUUUUGACACAUUUCCCUCAUCAUUAUGGCAGAGUUAUGCAACAAAAACGAGAACCAUUGAUCAGAAAUAGAAAGAAAAAAUCUCUGUUGUGAAUACUUAUAGUGAUAGAGUGCUCACUUACAUACUCCUUUUUAUGUGAUGCCAUCAACUAUAUUUGUAGAAUAAACCUGCAAAAAGAAAAAGAAAAAACAUUGACUUCCUCCCAUUCAGAGUUUUCCAAGAACGCAACUCAUAUGAAUAGAUUAAAGUCAUGGGUCAAACGAGGGAUUGUUAUCAAAAGAAGAAGAACGUACCAAGAAAGACAAGAGAGUGGCAAAUCAAAUCCUUCACGCACCAUACAACCCUUUCUAAAGAAGCGAUGUUCUGAAAUCAACCACACAUUCUGAAAACAUAGUAAAAAUGAACUCUAAGAGAAGAUAAGUUGAUUAGUUCAAAAAAAAAAAGAGAAGAUAAGUUGCAACUACAAGAUAUAGACAAAGACAUACCUCAAGAAAGUCUAGACCGCCCAAAGGAUAUGGAUGUUUCUUCCAAAUACUGAUGAUAAAAAAAAGAAGGCAAAUAAGCAACAAAGUAAAAGAUGUAUGUAAAGAAGCAUGAUCAAAUUAAGCAUGUAAGCCAAGAAGCAAGCAAAUUAAGAAAGCAAGUAUAAUAUGUAUUUAUGUAUGAUUCAUUGUACAUGAAUGAUUCUAUGCAAGUGUACUGUUUAUUUAAGUGAAUAAACAGUUCUGAUGUAUUCCCACAUUGUUAUACUUCGACUAAUAACUCUCCCACUGCAGAAGAACAGAGAAAAUAACAUCAAACUGUAAAGAGGAGACUAAGACAGAGGAAAAGGCACAAGUCAAUACACUAGAGAAACCAACACUAAAACCAGUCUCUAGAAGUCGAAAACAGAUCUAUGCAUUAAAAAAAAGAAAGAAAAAAAGUCAGUAUUCAUGACCAAUAUAUAUCCCACACUUACGAAAACAGAACAUCGAAUCUGAUGAAACAGAACCAAAUUAGUUUAAAACGUGUUUCAGAUGAUUGACUAAACCAAGUUUUGGAUGGAGUCAACUCGAGAAACCAUACCCUCUAGAGAGAGUUUCUGAUAGUUUCCACGUUCGUGUACAGUACAAUACCUUACAAAGUGGAAACAAGAUCCUUAAAACAAGAUCCAUAUAACAAGAGAGAGAGAGAGAGAGAGAGAGAGAGAGAGAGAUGAUAAAUAGAUGAACAUAAAACCCUAAAAAAACCCUAAAGAAACCUGAUCGAAUCGCUGCAAUUUUCUCUGGAAGCCCUUGCAAUUUCCUCUGCCGUCAAUAAGAAGACGAUGAAUCAGAGAGUAACGCUGUUAUAUAAAAUCAAAACAAGUUAGCAUAUAUAAAUCGAGAUUCCAAUUCCGCAUAAUCUAGGGUUUGAAUUUGAUUGGGAAUAGUAAAAAUCAAACGAAGCAAACCCCAAAACAGGGUUUUGAAUUCUAAGCCAAGGACGCUCUUCGAACGGCUCUCUCCUGAUUUUGAAAUUCGUCUCUCGAUGUUUCCGUUAAAUAGAAACUUUUAGACAUCAUCAUCCUUUUUUCCCCUCGAUAGAAAGCCCAAGUAUAACCAUGAAAAAGCCCAAUAAAAUGGCCCAUUAGAAAAAAACUAAGCAAAGCGGAAACUUUUUUUCUCAUUGUUCAUAUAAUAAAUUUUUAUGAGUUUGGUUUAGCAGACCAAUCAUUGAACUCUUACGGUUUGGUUAUACUGAAAUUUUGCUCGGUUAGAGUUUGGUUGUGUUUUUCAAUUUGUAUAUGGAAAUUUGAUAGAACAAAAUAAUGUUUUUGUUGGAUGGGUAAGUAUUAAGUAAGAUAUGUUCAUGUAAUGAAGUUUCUUAUAAAACGAUUAAACAAAUUAAAUUAAACUACAACUAGGGUUAGGAUUGGUUUUGAUUAGGGUUUUGUUUGGUCACUACUUCGUGUUUAACAAACAUUUUCUUCACUAUCCUACUAUGAUAUCUACGUUCUAAACAAUAUAUUAUAUAUUUGCUUGUUAAGAUCUUUCGUUCUUAUAGUAGUAUUAACAAUCUAGUGGUUUUGUGUGAAUUUUUAAAAAUCAAAGGACAAGUGACAAAAUUUCAUGGCAAUAAAUUACAUGUAAUCAUGAGUUAUAAGAUUUCAUCACAGAUUUUUUUUUUGUCUGAUACUUAAGACAGUUAUUCCAAAACCAUGUUCGAAGACGCAUAUGCAAGUUUUGUUAUGGACCAUUUAAUAUCAAACAUUCGUGGUGAAAACAUAUCUUAUAGAUUGUUUAAAACCAAGAGAACAGAUAAAAUUAAAGAAGUCUCACUAAAUGAUUGUUGAAGUGUUUUAAGUACUCUUUCUUGGUGCUACAAUAGGCAUGGAACCAGUCUUCAUUAACCGUAGAAAGCUCAAUGCCGAAAGCCGCAAAGCCUGCGAGUGUCCCGAGGGAUUGCCAUAAACCGUACUUACGUGCCACCAACCGUACUUACGUGCCACCAACCUAGAGGGGCGACGUACGGGCGAGCCGUAUGAAGGCGCAAUGAACUAGAUUGAAGAAGUCCAAGCUUUGACUGAUUCUCUUGGAUGCACAUUCUUGAGGCUUUUUCAUUUUCUUUACUUGAUAAUAUUAAAAGGUAAAAAAAUUUCUCCUUACAGAAUACAAUAUACAAUAUAUAUAAAAUUAAUUUUGUUAAACAACCAAACAUAACUGGUGACAAACAAAAACAUCAUAUACAACUGCUUUAGACGCAUGUAAUCAAAUAAAUUUUAUUCAUCUUUAACACUUUUAAAGAGGACCCGACGCAUUGUUGGUUGAGAACCAUGCAUGCACUUUUCAGCUCAAUAGAAAGCCAUAUCCACGACUCUCCUCCUCUCAAGAGGGUCAGUUUCUUCUUCAAUAACAUUCAACGACAUCAUCAUCAUCUCAUUCAAUGAUGUAGUCUAGAGCAGAUGUAACUUACACUCUCCCUGUUUUUAAUUAGUUAUCGUUUAAAGUUUUUGCACAAAAGUUUAGAAAACAAUUAAAGUUUCAGUUUUAUUCUUAUUUAUUAUAUUUUCUAUUUUUUUUUAUUGUUCAAAGCAUUUAAAAAACUAGAAUAAAGUUGGAAUUUUCACCCAAUUAUUGCAUUGAACAUCCAAAACGACAACUAUUUCGAAACAAAAUUUUAACUCUAGAACGACAACUAAUUUAAAACGGAUGAAAUAUGUUUUAUCAUUUAUUGUUUAUGCAUGCAAAACUAUAACAACCCUGCCUCAUAAAUUUUUUCUUGUCAUUAAAUGUUCAAACAUUAAAAGACAAGGUUAAGGAUAAGAAAAAAGCACAGCUAUUGAAAAUCUGAACAGCUUGUUGUUUUUCAAUAUCUUUAAAAUUGUCUUUUACUGUUUGAACCUCUAACAACAACAUAAAUUUAUCGGUUAGUGUUGUAAUAGUUUUGCAGACAGGCGACACAACAAAUGAUAAAAAAAAAAAUUGUUUCAUGACAAACUCUUUUGUCACCUUGCAGACCAGUAUUGUAAGUACUUUAACAGCUAUUUUCUUCAAGUACGACCAACAACAACAACAAAAAACAUAUUUAGAAAUAUAGGUUUUUUUAGUUACCUCUCCAUUGUCUAGCCUUCCUUGAUACAUCCUUGAUAUUAUUCGUAGUGGUGCAAGUUCGCGAUAUGAGAAAAUCUUGACAAAUGUAUAAGGUUUCUAAAACUCUUUCUGGUUUGGCUACAAAGGAACAAAACACCACAAAUGAGAUCGAGACUCUAUUAUCACAUGUGAUCUGGAUCAAUUAAGUGCGUUAAAGAGACAUCAGUUAACCAAAUAAACAAAUCUUUCAACAGUGACGACUUAUAUAAUCCAUCACUAUAAAACUCUCUAUCAUCAUUAACUUUAUAAUAAUCUAGCUAAUCAAUGGUAUUAAUUAAAGACAUCUCAAGAUUAAUAAAUAAAGAAGAAAGAUUCAUGAGAGGAAGUUAGAGAGGAACCAGAAGAUAUAUGCCGAUGAUGAUGACUUGUCACGUUUUGGAUUUCUUAUCAGACUUGUCUUUGAGAUCCAAAACACAAGCAAACAAGCCAUCAUGGUAUCUCUUUGAAUCAAAUCUCAAGGAAAACAAUCAGAAACAUGAUAGAGAAACGGAAGAUAGAAAUAAACACAAACACUCUAUGGUUUGAGAUUCAGACACGACGACAGAGAUAUAAGGAACCAUACAAACCCACAAAACAAGAUCAAGAGACUCGAGUUUUGGGGAUGACUCUCGAUGAAAAGGUGAUGAUGAUAAGGAAUUGAGAAAGAAUGAGAUUUGGGGUCAGAAACGAGAGGGGUGUAUAUAAAACUAGAGGAUUAGAGAUAUGAUCAGAUUUGGAUUACAGCUAGCAAGAGGAAAUCAAAAGUUUGACUGUAGGGUUUUUGAUAAGGUAAGCAUAACAAAAGACACGUAAUCCACAAAGAUAGGCAUGUGUUUGCUCUUAUAAGAUCAUCCUCAUUAGUUAUAGUAUCUUUAAAUGUAAAAAUAAUAUUUAAGAUUUGUGUCUACUAAUAAAGAUUUAUGUCUAUACACAGACACUUUAAAUAACCACAGUAGAAACUAAAAAUAUAUAUUAGAUCUAAUAUUAAAAUAUUAUUAAGACAUAAAUAUAUUAGAGCCCUCAUCAGAGGGAAACAUAUGUGAACGUUGUAUUAAGACCAUGGGCAUUGGCAGGUCCCAUGGUCAGUCCCUCAGCUUUUUAAGAAAAAAAAAAAAAAAAAAAAUANNNNNNNNNNNNNNNNNNNNNNNNNNNNNNNNNNNNNNNNNNNNNNNNNNNNNNNNNNNNNNNNNNNNNNNNNNNNNNNNNNNNNNNNNNNNNNNNNNNNCGGGAUUGUCCCUCUUCCAUUCGCGGGCCCUACUGACACGUGGCGGCCCGCGAUUGGUUAAUUUUUUUUUUUGUUUUUUUUUUUUAAAUUCUGUAAAAAGGAAAAAAAAAAGAAAAAAAAAAUUUGGGAUCUAUAUCGGUCCCUCCGAUGCACAUGUCCUAAGUCUGACUGAGAUUUUGUGCAAGUCCCCUGAGGAACUCUCCAAUGCUGAUCUGGCCGAGGCAUAUUCUAUACUACGUUUUGUGACAAAAGCAGGUUAUAAGUUGGCUUGGUUGGAGAAGAAACUGAAAGAUUCUGGUGUGACUCGGCUGCAAGAAAUUAAGGAAGAGGUGAAAGACUUGAAGGUGAAGUGUGCAGACAUAAAUGCUCUGCUUGAGUUCUUAGAAUGAUGUUCGGUGAUUAAUAGGGAAAAGAGUUGGGAUUUAGAGUGCUUUUUAAACUUGGAACAUCAAGAGGACUUGGUUAUCGUUGUUAAGGUUUCACUAUCUUUUAUUUACUAUUGCACUCUGUUUCUUGAUGGAAAAGUAAUCAUAAAUGUUUUGUUGUUUUUAUGUCCGAACUAGUCUAUUACAGUUGGCUCACAAAGAUAGUAAAUCUGAAUUCAUUUUCACUAGUCACUACAAUGAUGCUCAAGGAAAAUCAAAAACACGAUCAAGAAGCAGAAGAUAACCAAAGGAUAACACAAACACAUAUUUGCGUUGUAACAUAUAUACUUAUAAAUAUUCGCAUGUGCACUGACAUAUCAGAAUGUCAAGACUCCUGUAGAGUACCGUAGAACCCAUUCAACAGCUCCAAACACAUUUGCAUGUACGAUGACGAGUUUCCUUGCUCUCCGAAUAUCUCAAACGCAGCAGCUCUCAUCUCUUGAUGCACUUUCUUGAGGACCUUUUCAUUUUCUGAUCUUUACUCAUCAUGCAGCUUUACAAAAAGUCAAACUUAAAAAAAAAAACCAGCUUAAAAGGAAGAUAAUUUUCUCCUUAUAGAAUACAAUAUAUGGCGGGGCUCAUAACCUAAUUGUUGAACAACCAAACAUAUCUUUGAUUGUCAAAAAGUUGCAAAAUAACUGGGGACAAACAAAAACAUCAUAUACAACUGCUUAAGAUCAUGUCCCCAAUAGUUUGAUGAUCAUCAAAUCGUAAUUGCUUCAUCAGAUUAAUCUCUGAAUAAUUUGUCCGCAAAAAAGGAAAAAAAUGGAAAAGAGACAAAACGCAAGAUUCGUGUUGUUUUAUUAUUUUAACAAACAAUGUUUGUUUUUACAUGUACAUAAUUAUGUUGGGCUUUAUUAUUGAUUUUUUUUUAAGAAAAAACUUAAUAAUUUGUAGAUAAAUUCAAAAUAAAGACAAACUUAUGGCAUUGUAAUGUAUAACAUUCUAAUAUAUAUGCUAUAAAACAGAAAAUGACAAAAAUAAUUACGAAAAUAACAAAUUUUUUGAGUCAAUUUAAAUAUAGAAGAAGAAAAAAAACAUUGAGAAAUAUAUUUUUUCAUCUUCAACAAUUUUAAUUAGGACUCGACGUUGUUGGCUGAGAGCCAUGCAUGCACUUGCCAGCCCAAGAUAAAGCCUCAUCCACGACUCUCCUCCUCUCAAGAGAGCAAGUUUUUUUUUCAAUACUCCAUUCAUCUCAUUCGAUGUCCCUGCCCUCUACAUAGCUCCUAUUCGUCCUUUGGCCUAGUUUUUCUUAUCCUCGAUUGAGAGUAUUCAAUGAUGUAAUCCAGAGCAGAUGUAACUUAUACAUUUGAUCAUUUAUUGUGUGUGCCUGUAAAACUAUAACAACACUAACUGAUGAAUUCCUCCUUUCGUUACAGGUUCAAACAUUAAAGGACAAUUAAAAGACAUGGAGAAAGAACAAGCAAGCUUAAAAGACAUCGAAGCUUGUUUGUUCUUUCUCCAUGUCUUUUAAAUUUUCCUUCAAGUUUGAACCUGCAAUGAUAAGAUGAAUCUAUCGGUUAGUGUUGUAAUAGGCAGACACAAUAAAUAAUUAAUGUAUAGGUUACUUCGGUGAUCACUGGUCUAAUGUUUACACCUUCACAUAGACUGAUAGACACAUAAAGGCCACUUUAAGAGUUCUUUCCAACACUCUUUUCGUGAAAACGCCUUGAUAACUAAUUUGACCUACAAAACAAGAUCAAGAGAUUCUAGUUUUGGGGAUGACUCUCGAUUAAAAGGUGAUGAUGAUAAGGAAUUGAGAAGGAAUGAGAUUUGGGGUCCGAAACAAGAGGGGUUUAUAUAAAACUAGAGGAUUAGAGAUAAGAUCAGAUUUGGAUUACAGCUAGCAAAAGGAAAUCAAAAGUUUGACUGAAGGGUUUUUGAUAAGGUAAGCAUAACAAAAGACACGUAAUCCAUGUCUGCAUUAUAAAUGUUACUUAUCUCUCAAGCUCUUAAGGGUAAUAAUUUGGUAAUAUCAUAUGGUAUUAAAUUUUCUUACAGAAACUUCACCAAAUAAAAAAAGUUUUAUAGGAAGGUUAUCUAUGUUUGACUAUAAAUUUAUUAUACUAUUUAUAUUUUAAUAAUUUUUUUUUUUGAACUCUAAAUAAACAUGCUCUACGUAAAAUUUUGAAUGGUUAUUUCAAAAGAUAUAAACAUAUUGUAGAAUACAAAAAUGUCAUGAAAUAAUGAAGCUUAAAGGUCAAUUUGUGUUGACUAGAUUUCGGUUUGGAUCCGGUUAAAAUUUAAGACGAGAAAACAGAUUUGCGGAAUAAAAUAUUAAAUACCAGUGACUACAGUACAAGUGUAAAACCAAGAGACCUGAAAAAAUAUUCAAGAAGUCUCACUAAAUGAUUGUUACAGUGCUUAAGUACUCUUUCUUGGUGCUACAAUAAGCAUGGAACCGGUCUUCAUUAACCGUACCAAACCCGGAAAGCUCAAUGCCAAAAGCUGCAAGCCUACGAGUGUCCCUUUGGAUGGGCGAUUGCCAUAAACCGUCCCACCAACCGGGAGGUGCGAGCGGCGUGAAGGCACAUUGGUUUGGCUGUUUUGGACAGCUUAACGGUCCAGCGUAUCUGUUCCAUACAUGUCCCCAACCCACCUGGUUUUUCAGACCGUCUGCUAAUAAGUUGCUCUGGAAGCUACUCAGGAAAGCAAAGCUCGAGUUGCUCGAACCGUCCUCUGUAAAUUAACCAGUUAAAAAACCAGUCAAGUAGUAGUAUUAAUGACGACUGAGAAAUGAAAAGAGACGCAAGUGUUGAGGAAACUAAGGUAAGGUCUUAACUGAGACUAUUUGCAGCAGCUAAUGCAGCAACCAAUUGAGCAUAUGUGGUCCCGACUCGCCUGUUAGCACCGGAUAUCACCGCCUGUUGUGCACGGCAUGCGAGGAAGAAAUCUACAAAUGCAACCCAUCUCGGUGCAGGACCCCAAUCUUUUAUUCUGAAAUCUAACAUUGGCAAUCCGCGGCCACGUUGGGAGAUGUCACCUCUGAAAAGCUUAUAGUCAAAAUGUAGAACCUGCAAACCAUUGCAACUGUUUUAGUCCGGCAAUGAAAUUGGAGAAUCUAUUGGAAAGAUUAUAGCAAGUGCGAGUUUAAUAGAUCAUUAAUACCUCCGCAAUUGCGCUGAUAUUUGUUUUGAUAGUUUUCACUACAGAUGGUGUGUCAGACACUAUAACUACUCUCGGUUUUGAUAUGCCAAGUCUGUUAAUUGCUUUCCCUAGACAGUUUAUCGCUGCACGUAUAGGUCGAACAGAUCUGGAGAAAUCAUGAAACGGAAGAUUAGUAAGCCAUCUAGUGAAAAAAAAACAUACUUGAGUUGUAACAUACUUGCUCAUCAACAUGCGCAUGUGCACUGAAAUAUCAGGAUCUCCAGUCUCCUUUAGAACCCAGUCAACUGCUUCUUUCACAUCUUUCGUGGGAGAAAUGAGACUCAUCAUCAAUUCUCCAAACACAUUUGCUUUUGGUGCUGAGUUUCCUUGCUCUCCAAAUAACUCAAAUGCAGCAGCUCUCAUCUCUGGAUGCACAUUCUUGAGGAAAAACUGAGCUGCCACAGCGUCUGUAGUGCCCUGAAACCUGAAAACCAAAUGUUACGCUUAGUUAAUGAUUAUAACUUCACAAAAUGGACAAAAAAGUUGUAUCUUUUGUUUCCUUCUCACUGACCAUAUUAUCGGUUCUUCCCAUUUCUUCCAAUUACUGCAUAAGACAUUACUCUUAGCCGGCUUCUCGAAAUCAUCCAAUCUCAUUACAAGCCGCCUUCUAUAUUUCUUCACGCAGCCAUUUUGUCGCCACAGAUGCUUCACUUCAGUCAUGGUAAGUGUAGCAUUGGAGUAAGCAAUGUAAUCACCAAAAGGAUAUCUACCCCUGAGGAUCAAUAAACAGAGAAAGAAAUAUAAACAAGACAAAUAACACAAACUACAGCAAGCAAAGUAACAGCUCAGGUUCUGAAUCAGUUAAUAUAGUUCCCAAGAAAUAGAGAAAAAGGAUUGAGAAAGAACCAAUAUAUGCCUGGUCUGGCCAAUGAUCAAGGAUCUGUUCAACAUUAUGCUCAAUGCCGCUGAGGUUAAGAUCUUGUACAUUUCGUUCCCAAAUCCAGCUUCUGCUGUUUUCCCCAGAACAUAACCAUGUUUACAAAAUUGCUCCGGAGGCAGCUCACGAACAGCUGAAGCGCCUGCAAACCACAAGAAUCAUCUUCAUCAUCAUCAUUCAUACAUACAAGCACUAGUUUUCCAGACAUUAAUCUAGAGCAAGCGGAAUAAAAAUACACACUUUGUUAAAUCAGAGUAAUCGGAUUCAAAAAAUCUUGCUUUCACUAAACAAGUAACUAGCCAAACACUAACCAAUCGAUUCAAACACACAAUUUCUCACCAUUAAUUUGAAAAUGGCGACGGAUAACAUCUCUAACUCUGAGACUUUGAUCCACGAAACCACCAUCGAACUCGCUUCCCAUCUCUUCUACCGUCGCACAGAGCCUACCUCCAUCGACCUUAGCAUCUCCAAUCGAAGAGGAGUUGCUCCAUCUCGCAGCCUCCUCGGAUUCCGAACCGGCGUCGUCGUCGUCGUCAUCGAUGAAAGACGAGUUAGGAUCCACGGAACGGAGAGUGAGCAACAACAAGCCAAAACCGAUAAAGAAAAUCACAGAUGAUAAAAGAAUCGUUGUCUUCCCGAACAAUCGCUUCCGUCUGGAUCCACCGCGUUUCAUCUCUUCCUCAUCGUUUCUUCUCCGUCGUGGGAGCUUUGGAUGCGAUCGGCACGGCGCCGUUUUUGAUACGUUCGUGUCGGUGGCCGUUAAACUACUUCAACGGGUCAAUUUUUUAACACUACACUGGGCCUAACUAUAGCUAUUAAAGUCAAAUUUUUAACACUAUACUGGGCCUAACUAUAGCUAUUAAAGGCCCAUAACUUAUAUAGGCUUGGUCUUAUGAAGCCAUGAAUGGUUGUUGGUUUUUAAAUAGUUUUUAGAUUAUGGUUUUUGGUUUUUAACUUUUGGUUUUUGAUUUUAGGUUUUUAAUUUUGCAAUAUAUAUUAUUUUUUGGUUUUUUUAUAUUUUAUUAGAAGUGUUGUUAGUAUUUUCUUAAAAUCUCAAAUAUGUGGAUUUUGGUUUCCAUUAAAAAUUGUUAAGAAAACAGAAGGGUGUAUUCAAAAUGGAAUUUUAAGAGAUUUGAGUUUUAUUGAGUUUUUAAAUGAUUUUGAUUAUUUUAGGGAAGUUCAUAUGACUUUUGUAAAAUUCUUUCAAAUCUCACCAAAAACCAUGGGAUUUGGAUUUCUGUAUUUUUAACUAAGGAAAUCUAUUACCAUUCAAGGCACGAGACUUCAUAAGCUUAGAGGCAUUUUUCUUGUUUUGUGCCCAAGUGGUUCAUCUACAUCAAUAAUAAUAGGAUUGGCUACUAAAUAAUAAAUAGUUUGAGUAGUAUAUAAUCGUAUUUUCAAACUCACGUGAAUUAGUAUAUAAUUCAUGAGAAAAUUGUAUUCUCUGCCAUGAACAGUGUCAUUUCUUCUAAGAAAUGCCACUUUCAUUCCAAUCUUCUAAGAAAUGCCAUAGGAUCCACUUUAACUUAUUAAAAUGUCAAUUCUAUCCCUCACUCAAACUUUCUCUCUUUUCUUUCAUUUUUUCUCAUCUGUUUCUUUCUCUUCUUCUUUCAUUUUUUCUUUCUUUCUUUCUCUUCUUCUUUCAUCUUAUCUUUCUUCAACAACAAACAAAUUUCUCUACAAUUUCGGCAGACUAGUUCCGGCGAACCAUUUCUGGUGGACCAGUUCCGGCGGACCAGUUGCAGUUCCGGCGGACCAGUUGCAGUUCCGGUGGACCAGUUCCAGUUCCGGCGGACCAGUUCCAGUUCCAACGGAAUAUAACCAGUCUCAGUAGACCAUAUCUGAUAGACGAGAUAUGACAGACCAGUUUCGAUGGACCAAUUCUGGAGUAUCAGAUCCGGCAAACCAGUUUCAGUGGAUCAUAUCAGGUGAAGAAGUUACAGCGGACCAUAACCAGUUUUGAUGGACCAGAUCUGGUGGACCAGAAUCGGUAGACCAAACUUGUCCAUCCUACAGAUUUCUUGAAACCACAAGAAAUUAAGCAGAAGAUAAAACAAAUGAUGCUUCUAUGGAAGAUAUCAUCAAUGAUCCAUCUAGGUAUACACUUUCGAUCACACAUUUGUGCGUUGAUGGACUAGAUUCGGUGGACUAGAUCUGAUGUCUGUAAUAUGUCCAUUUUUUGUUUCUUAAUUUGUUGUCCAUUAUACGUAUAUAGUAAAAGCAAAGAGUAUCGGCACAAAAAAAAACUUGUCUAUUAAUUAAUGUCCAUAAUUGAUUUAUGUUUUUUUGUCUUCUUUCUUUGAGGGCAUUUUUGUCUUUUUAUUUUACAAUAAAAAUGAAUAUGGCAUUUUACAAAAUACAAAGUUGAAAGUGGCAGUUUUAAAAGUUUGAGUUUUGAAAGUGGCAUUUUACAUAAAAUUCCCAUAAUUCAUUUUCACAGAAAAACUAAAUUCUUUGAAUAAAAAAAAAGUAUAGAUCACUUAACUACGUCACAACAUCAAUCUUAAUUACGCAAGUAGUUUUCAGCAAACUUUUAAGUUUUAGUUUUCGGGAAACUCUUUAGAUAUUUUUGAUUAUUUUCUAAUAGAUAUUUUAACAAUAAAACAAUAUUUUAUUUUGUAUUAGGUUAAUCUAAAAUUCUCCACUAACUUUUUAGGGGGUGUUAUUGGAUUCUAACUUAUAAAGAAUUUGGAUGACUCUGCUAAAAUCAUAGAUUGUAUGAUUUUAAAGGAUUGUCUGAGAGUUUUAUAUAAUCUUAUUGAUUAGUUUUUUUAAAGUCUUGUAGAGUCUCUCAAACAAUCUCUGUAUUUAUAAGAUACUUUUCAUGACUUUAUUUUGUAAAGAAGAGUGUUUAAAAUCAUAAACCAAUAACAUAAAAUUUUAAUUCAUUAACAAUCAGAGAUUCUUUUGUUUUAAUUGAAUAACACAGAACUUUUAAUGACUUUGUAAAACUCUGUAUCCAAUAAUCCCAUAUUUAUGAAGAUUUUAAAUGACUCUUUACAAAUAAAUAACUAAUAACACCAAACUUUAAAAGAGUUUUGUAAAAUCUUGAUUGAAUAACAAUAGAUUCUACCUAACAUAUAAAGUCAUUAAAACUCCAUAUAACUCACAAACCAAUAACACCCCCUUAUUCUUUAAUUAGCGAUUUGUAAUUGUGAAUCUACUAAAACUGCGAUCACGGAUGCUCUGCAAUGACAAAUUUUUAAACAGAUAACCUAAAUUUCUUAACAUUCAAUGCUAAGUUAGAUAAGCCAAAUAUAAUUGUUAAUGGGGAAUCCAAAGCGCCUCCAUUUCACGAUAAGAAAUCCAUCGUAAUGCUCAUAAAGUCAAGUAAUCAGUAAAUAUUUUAAGGUUCAGUUUUUUCAGUAAGCUUUGUAGGUUCUACUGUAAAUGUUGGUAGAAAGAGUUGGUGCCGAAAUUUUUUUCACCAAAAAAAUUCUAUUAACAUUUACACAAAAAAGUUAUUUGUAAGAAGAUUUUAAAAAUCACCAAAAUAACAAUACAAUUCUAAAUACUGUAACAAUUUAUAAUUCAUGAAUAUCUUUUUUUUUUUUGUCAUCCAAUGAAUACUUAAAUCUCAAAAUUUUGAAAGUUACAAAAAAACCUAUCAACCAAUAAUUUUCUUAGAUGACUUUUUAAAUUCAAUAAUGUUAAUGAUCAUUGCUUAAAAACUUACAGUUGGAUGUUUUAAAUUUUAUGCAUUUAAUUUUCGUAGACAGUUAUAAGCUUUUAUAUACAGUUGGAUGUUUUAAAAUUUAUGUUGACUCUCGUUACCGAUAUCUUUUUGAUUUACUAUAAAGAAGAAACUGCCGAUCCAUUAAUAACUUUGUGUUUUGUUGAGAAACUAACAUGUGUUCCUUGAAACAUUCAUAACAUGAUUUUUUUUUUUUUUUAAUCCUUUGAAAUCUCCAUUGAAAUAUAAUGCUACGAAAAAGAAGAAACACCAUGUAUUCCAAAAUAGAUAACAACUUCUCGUUAAGAUAAGAUUAAAACUCCAACGCAAUCAACUUUCAUAUAAGUAAAUGAAGCUUAAUAAAAUUAUUAUUUUGUUGAAAGGUUUUGGAAAAAUGCAAAAUAUCGAAGCAAAAGCUCUUGUUGUUUUAUCAACAGCCGCCAUCGAAAUGUUUUUUUUUUUUUACAUCAUACAAAAUUAGCAUUCCAACUUUAGCAUUAAGUCAAUGCAUUUUCAAUCUCUAAAGGAAUUUUAAAAAAUGAAUUUUCGUUUUGAAUAUGUAAUAUUAUCAAAAAUCUAGUUAAACUAUCUGAUAAUAAGACUAUAUCAACAAGAUCAUAAUCUUUGUCCUUAAACACUUCACACUUCACUCACACAUAUAAAUACCUUGUUAUCUUCCUACUACUAUUUUUUUUUUUUUUUUUGUAACGUAUAAUAUUAUUGAUAAUUAACGAGUUAUGUUACAUGAUAAACCACAAGGAAUAUAAUAAUGAAAUACAAAGGAUUCAUUUAAACGCAGUAGGGACUUAACAAAGAUGAUCUGCUGCUUUGUUACUUGCUCUUAUAAUUCGAGUAAUUAAUAAUUUGAAACUACAUUAAUUUAUGUGAAAGAUAAUUGAAAGAAAAUCUAGAAUACACAACAUUAAUAAUUGAUCAAUAUUUUUUAAAUAUAUCAAUAAAUUUUUUUUACAUAUUCCUUACUUUUUAUGUUUUUUUUCUUAUAUGAAUUUUCAUAUGGAAAAAUUAUGAAAUUUUAAAACUGAGAUGUAUAAUUGUGAUUUGUGUAUUUCAAACCCUAUAUAAAAUAGCAUAAUUACUAUAGUACUAUAAACUCAUAUAUAGGAUGUCAUUAUGAAAUAUAUGGGCUUGGGCCCAAUAACGAGACCUUAGCCCAUAAAGGAAUAAAGAAAUCCCCUCGGGUGGUUCAUCCACAUCUAACCACGACGAAGAUUAUUUCCAACACUUUCCCCCACACUGCAAAAACUUUCUCCGGCGGGUUUUGGAGACAUUACCGGAGAACGGCGCCACUUCGUUCACCGUGAUUUUCCUAUUUCAGUCGUUGACUCCUUCACUGCUUAUGUUAAGGAUCAUCGCAGCAAUCCUCUACUUGUGAUCGAUUCUCUCUGUAAUUUCCUCCUCUUCACGCUCCUUGUUUUCGUUUUUUUUUGCUAUCUACUGAAAUUAGUCUCUUACGCAUUAGGGUUUAUACGAGUUUCGAUGUCUAAAGCCACUAUCUUGACUUGUUUAUACACUUCCUUGUGUCUUUUGUCUAGUUCUCGCUUAGUCUUAUGGAAUUACUUGUGCUCGCUAGUGUUUGUGUAGUAGAAAAAAUCAUGGCUUUUUCCCGUAAGUUGGUGGCUAAAAGAAUUGAUUUUUACCCCUUUGUGAUUCUCAAUUUUUUGUAAUACUAUUCAAAUUUUUGACCUUUUUGUUUUUUGUUUUCUUGUCUAUUGCUUCGAUUGACGGAUGACUCUAGGGUUUUGACUUGUUUCCAACUGUUGUUUGUCUACAGAUUUGUGAAGGUGCACUGGUUCUUGAGCUGGUGUUGAAAUAAUGGGUAGUUCAUUUAACGCUCAGAUUUUAGUUGAGAAGCUUGCCAAGCUCAACAAUUCUCAAGCAAGCAUAGAGAGUAUCCUCGUCUGUGUGUUCUUGUUUCUAUAUAUCGGUUUCUCGUAUUCUAGUUUUGGUUGUAGUUUCGUUGGUUUCUGUAAUCUUAGGGGUGCUUUGAAAGUACUAGACAGAAUUACUAUCUUGUUAAGAGUACAGUGGUAUAAGAUGAAAGUUUUGGUAUGUUCUUAUCAAGAGAGUAUAGUAUGAUUUCUCCAGAUUUCCUCUAAAUUCGUUUGGGGGUUGAGGUAGUUUUUACCAAUUUUGAGUUUCUUCAUUUUGGUGUCUGAUAUAAAUGGAACACAUUUAAUUCGGAACUCUCUCUUUAAUGUACAUUAGUUUCCCUUUGCUUAUUUACAUCUUUUAUGUCUUCUUUUGCCCUUGCCUUGUAUACGGUUCUGUUGUAUCUCUUCCUUGACAGUAUACAGCUUUAUCACAUUGGUGUAUCUUUCACAUGAACAAGGCGAGACAUGUUGUAGAAACAUGGGGUAGACAAUUUCACUGUGCCCCACGUGAUCAACGUGUGGCGUACUUGCACCUUGCGAAUGAUAUCUUGCAAAAUAGUAGGCGAAAGGGUUCUGAGUUUGUAGGUGAGUUCUGGAAAGUACUCCCUGAGGCUCUUCGUGAUGUGAUUGAAAAUGGUGAUGACUUUGGAAGAAAAUCUGCACGUCGAUUGGUAUGUGAAGUCAACUUUGUAUCUACCACUUUUUCGCCGGUUAUUGAAAUACUUUUAGGACUUUGACAUGAGAACUGCAUUGCUAAUUUUCAUUAUUUAUCUUCCAAGGUUAAUAUAUGGGAAGAAAGGAAAGUCUUUGGAUCCCGUGGACAAAUUCUCAAAGAAGAACUUCUGGGAAGGCAGCCUGACAAUGGAACCAGAAAUGGAACUCUUGUGCCGCUUAAGCUAGUAAGUCAGAGUUUAUAUAUAAGUAUUUUCUUACGUCAUUUGUUAAUAAGGUCCACCAUUAUGUGAUCAUUUCUACUUUGGAGUUCUUCCGUGAUAGCAACAUGAUCUUUUUUUAUUGUUGCAGUCUGUUCAACAGAGACCGGCAAAUGGAUCUACACUGGAGAAAGUAGUGUCUGCUGUUGAAGUGCUUCACGGCGUUCACUUUGAUGAGGAUGCAAUUGUUGGAAAAUGUACUAAUGCUGCUGGUUACCUUGAGAAAGCAACAGAAGAGCUUGAGAGAGAUCUUAGUUCAGGUAUCACUGUCCACUGGCUGCUAACAUUGCUGCAAAUGUAUUGAUAUACUUUUUUCUUCUUAUUACACACCACACAGCUAUAGAUUUCUACAUUCGUUUGCUAACAAACUUCAUUCAAUUGGUCUCUCUUUCAACACAUUCCCUUUGUAUCAUAUCCGUAAUCUUUAAAAGUUGCUUAGCAAUUUAGUGUUUGGUUUAUAUGUGAUCUUAAUACACCACCAGAUUUGGAUCCUUAAUUCCAUGAUGUUCCUCUCUUGUGUUUUCAUAUUACUUUUUUUUCGAAAUCACCCUUUUCAUUUGGUGGCUCUUACCAUUUGUGUCCAAUCAUUUAAUGGUGAGAGAACUUACGCUCACCAUUAUGAAGAGAAUCAUUUAAUGGUGAGAGAAAAUAAUCCGACACAUUUUAGUUAAUUUUGGAUCCCGAAGAAAGGUCAGAAUUGUUGGACUGGCCUAUAUAUUUACUUGUUGUAUAUAUGUUACACUUCUUUACUUUCAGGAUAGAGAAAAUCCAAUUCUUGGUCAAGCAUCUGCCUAUCUAUCAUAUGAAGUUAGUUUCAGUAUCUUACUUCAUAAGUGUUGCCUUAAACAGGACACACCCCUGGACCCGCUGUUGUAAAGGAGGUGCAGGGACAGCAUGCCAUUCUGAGAGACUGCAUCGAACAGUUAGGGACAAUGGAGACAUCCAGAACAAGUCUUAUCUCCCACUUGAGAGAGGCUUUACAAGAACAGGUUUCGAUUUGUUCAACUGCUUAGAAAAAAUCAUUUUAAUUGCUCCUGCCAUAUACCUCACUUUUAUUUCUUUUUGUCCAGGAACUCAAGCUGGAGCAAGUUCGUAACCAUCUUCAGGUUUGUAUUUUACUAACAAAUGUGAUGUCCGCACUUCACACAUUAUAAAUAUUUCAGUUCACACAAUAUGUGAGAACCUUAUAGCAGUACUUUUCGCGACUCACGUGUCUACUAAUAAUUUAGUGAGUUUGGUCAAGGAAGAUAGACCCAACUUUGAAUAGGGGUCUUCUUGGUUUUUCAAAACAAAAAGUUGCCAUGUCUUGAUGCUAUAUUAGUAAAGUGAUAUUCAUUGUGUUAUGGUUUCAGAUUGCUCGGUUUCAAUCAGACCGAACUGGUGAUCUCUGCAGACAGCUUCUGGACCAUGGUGGUAGUUCGCAGCCUCCUGCUACAGAAAAAGAAGCGUCAAACGGAGCCAUCAUAGGUUCAUCUGCUGCAGCAGCACCACCACAAAGCUUCACACACAGUGAUGUAGAACAAUCUGCUCCGGUUAUGUUUGCUUCAAACCCUACUCAAUCAGUUGAAGACCCAAGAAAAACCGCAGCAGCCGCAGUGGUAGCUAAGCUAACUGCAUCAACUUCCUCAGCAGAGAUGCUCUCCUACGUUCUCUCCUCAUUAGCCUCUGAAGGCAUCAUUGGAAACAACAACGCACCUGCUGUUUCAGAAUCUCCAUCAUCCGUUGAUUACCCACCAGAGAAAAGACCCAAGGUUCAAAACCAUGACCAGUCCUAUAUCCCACCGCACCAACAGAAUGCUGCAACAACAUCCUCCAGCACGCCCCCACCACCACUUCCACCGCCACCACCACCAUCGUUCCAGCUUCAACCUCAGUUUUUGCAGCCCUUACAGCCUCCCGGGCCUGUAAACCAGACACCAUUCAACUACACCAUGGCAACCACACAACAACAACAACAACAACAAGGUCCUUGGGUUCCUGGGCUUACUCCACUCUCAACAACCACCUCUGCUCCAUCCGAUAAUUCAUACCAGAAGUUUCAAGGACAAGAUGGUUUCUAUGGGAUUAAUUCAUCAGUGCCUAUGACACCUGUUACCCGGCAGUAGAGUAAAUCUGUUUCUAUAGGAGUUCGUUCAUAUAGCAAAGAGCUCACUCUUUUUUUUUCUGGUUUUCUGUGUUAAAUAUAGUUUCAAUGGGAUUUUGAUUAGGAUUUUAUGUUCUGAAAGAUGUGCUGUGAAUGCUUUCUAAUUGUGCGUACGCCUAAUUAAAGGCUUCUGUAAACAUUUAAGAAAAAAAAACAAAAUCUUUUACUUUACUGUGGGAAGAUUCCAUAGCUUCUUCUCUCUGAAAUUUACAUGGAGGUCAGAUUGGACCAAGUUUGUUUUGCUCGUCUUUUAAAAGUCUUUUGGUCAAAACGCCGACAAGUGUUUGUCUUUUGACUAAUAAAGAAUGAUACUUUUCCACAUUUUUCUUUGUCUUUUUUAUCUUAUUUCUCUACUCGUCAGGGAUUCCCUGUAACGCGGCAAUCCUGACGAAAGAAAAGAUAUCUCAGAAAUUUUUGAGAAGAGCAAAUAACAAAUAGCUGUAUCUUCAUAAGCAUAAGUUAAGAGAUUAGGUCACAAUCACAAACCUUUCUUGGGUUUUUCUCCUACCUCUUGCUUCUCCCCUCUCCCAAGAAGCUAACCCUAGCAAACCCAGAUAAUCAAAAAUUUCAACAGACUCGGACAUUGGGAUUGAGUCUCUCUAGUUUCAGGUAACAUGCGUAUCUUGUGUUAGCUUUUUCUGACGGUUUCGGAGCUUAGGUCUCUGCGAUGAGUUCCAAGUUUUGAUUUUUUUUCACGAUCUUCUUGUCCUUCUUGCUCCUUUGGUCCAAGUUCUUGAUUUGGACUAUUUGAUCGGUUAAAGUUUGACUAUUCUUAAUUGAUCAUUUAAUUUGACUGUUCGUUCAAUGUUCCUCGCUGAGUAUUUUUGUUUUUUGGUCCAAGUUCUUGAUUUCGACAAUAACUGAAGUUUCAUUAUUGAUCCUUUGUAACUUGGAGAAUCUCGUUGUGCUCUUAAUUGUAGGUUGGGUUCUUUCUGGUGUAAUCUUGUGAGAGUUUUUGUUGUGGGAGAAAGAGAAAAUCAAAUGCCGGACGAAGAAUUGGUAGAACUUAAAUUCCGGUUAUAUGACGGUUCAGAUGUUGGCCCCUUUCAGUACUCUCCUACUGCAACAGUCUCAAUGCUCAAGGAGAGAAUUGUCUCCGAGUGGCCUAAAGGUGAGCACUGAGCAGAGUCUUUUUGUUUGCCUUUUCUCCUCUAAUCCGUGAAGAAAGAAGUAAAAAUGUGAUUUUUAAGUGCUCUUGAAUGCUUUAGAUUUGGCUUUAGAACGUUUUCUUCAUCCAUUUUUUUUCAGUUUCUUCAACUGUGGGAUUGAUAGACAAAGUUCAGACACAAGUCAUAGACUUAUCAUAGGAUCUGAUCCAAUUACUAAUCAUUCGUCUUAACCUAUUGAUCUUGUAAAAAGGUUAAUCGAGCUUGUGUUUCUAUGUUUUAACAGUUUCUUCACUUGUGGCUUGAUAGAAAACGAUCAGAUCAGAUAUAAGGCAUAGGCUUUUGAAUUAGUUUGAUUGUAUUACUAAUCACUAGUCUUAAACUACCAAACAUAUAUGUGGUGUCCUUAGAGACUAAUUCGGUUCUUAUUCUUUCUGCUCUUAUGUAUUUCACAAAAUCUUUCAUUUAGUCACAUUUACUUUGCUAUACUGGUUGACUAAUCAGAUUUGGGGUUUUGAUUGAAUGUGAUGUCUUUAGACAAGAAGAUUGUUCCAAAAUCAGCUAGUGACAUCAAGUUGAUAAAUGCUGGCAAGAUUUUGGAGAAUGGUAAAACUGUUGCACAGUGUAAAGCUCCAUUUGAUGACCUCCCUAAAUCCGUCAUCACAAUGCAUGUUGUCGUGCAACCGUCUCCAACAAAAGCAAGACCAGGUAUUGUUCUUUAACACACAUCUUGUUCUUAUUUCUGUAAAUCUUGUUUGGGGAAUGAAUGCUUUAGAGUUUUCUUGAGCCUAAUAUCUUGUUUCGUGAGCGUAAUAUCUUGUUCCUUUUCUUCUCUUGCAGAGAAAAAAAUCGAUGAGGAAACCCCACAGAGAAGCUGUUGCUCAUGUACCAUAAUGUGAGAAGAACAAGUCCCAAAACAACAAAUAUGAAAGCGUUAAGUUUUGCUUCUCUAUGGUUUAUGCUAGAAGACCUUAAAAACUUAAAAACUUAAAACUACCAUUUCUGCGCUUCAUAUUCUAUAUAUUCAUCCUCUCAAGUUCAAACAAAGCUUCAUCAAUGGGAUUAUAAAGCUGGUUUAUUAGAGUUGUUUAUCUUCUGAUGAUGAAAAACUCUUGUUUGGAGCAUCCGUUAUAAAGAUAAAGAGUUUUGUCUUUCUUUCCUUUCCAGAACUAAUUCUAGUAUCUUUGUAACAUAUCUUGUGUAUGGUUCUGCAAAAUCUUUACUACACACCUUAGACCUGUCUUAUCUCUAUCAGGAACCGCCCAAAAACUGUAUCCAAACCAAACACCUCUAUUCAGUGAUCAGUCCAUCAUCACAUACCAAAGGAAAACAGUACAAAACGUUUGCAAUUUGGCUCAUUAGUUGCAAGCACUUUGAAAAUGUACUAUACAAUGGUCCAUACAACAAUAAGAAGACACAAGUGGUGGUGUUACCUUUCUCAUCACUUUCCACUUCUAAAAAGCCAAGUUUUUUGGAAUGUAGUUUACAAAACUGAAAGCCACAAUAAGAAACAAAGAGCAUGAGAUCUCAAUAAAUGUCUCACCAAACUUGUCACUGUCCCCUUCACUAUCUCCCACUUAAUUCUCUCAUUUAUAACAUUCACUUUCACUGAGUGUCUCUCCACUAUCUUCUCUCUGCUUCUGCCUUUAAUUCUGUUCAUCUUCCUCUCAUUUAUAGUCUUCACUCCAAAUGCGCCUUUCUUUGUUCUCCCAUCACUUUCUCUCUGAUUGUCUUGUAGGGCUAAACAAAAUAAUCCAUUUUACCCCGUUUCCAUAUGGUAUUUUUACUUUAAUUCAAUCCGAAAUUCAGAUAUUGUAUCCGUUUUAAGAUAAAGCGAAUCACAAAUACCAAAAAAAGUUCGGAUAUACGAUCUAUUUGCUACAUGCAUACAUCAUAGUAUAAUUUUAUAUAGUUUAUCUUCAUUUUUUGUAUCUUCAAAAUACAAAAAAAAAAAAGAAGAAUUUACAAAAACACAAAACUAUUAUAUUUGUAAAGAUUCAUAUUUACAUGAAAAGAAAGAAAACAUUAUUACUCUCUCCGUUUCAUAUUAAAUGUCAUUCUAUAAACUCUGUUUCAUAUUAAGUGUCAUUCUAAACUUCAAAUUUUGUUUCAAAAUAAGAGUCUUCGUGUUCACCCUAGUGUUAAUUUAACAUCAAUAUAGACACGUUUGUAUAACACUCUAUAUAUAUAUUAAAAAGGAACCUUGAAGCUAUUUCAAUAGAGUUGUUCCCAUCUCUUCUUGUUGAAAGCUAGUUCCCUUUGUUUCUUCUUUCUUCCCACACAUAUUCUCUCCUAUUCUUACACCAACCACAUAAACAAAUAAACCAAGCUUGAAACUUGUUGUGGUCAAGAUGCAGAAGAACUCACUGAUAAUGUUUUUGUUUAUUCUUCUGCAAUCUCUGUUCGUAAACUCUCUGUCUCCAAAACAUUCAUCACCCAAACCAAAACCAGAAGCAGAAAUCACUAUCAUGGGUUUUGUUUACUGCGAUGUCUGCUCCAACAACAGUUUCUCCAAACACAGUUACUUCAUGUCAGGUAAUUCAAGAACACACAAACUCACAAAGAAGAUCUCUUUAACUAAUGCUCUUCAAGAGCUUUGUUUCUAACGUUUCUUGACACAGGUGUGGAAGUGAGAAUUGUCUGCAGAUUCAAAGCAGCUUCGUCAACAACGAGUGAAACUGUAACAUUCUCUGCAAACAGAACCACCAACGAGUACGGACUGUACAAAGUAGCCAUAACUUCUCUAGAUUGUGCCAACGUGGACAAUCUCGCAAGUUCUUGUCAAGCGAGUUUGGUCGGAAGGAAAAACUUCUCGGAUUCUUCUUGCAACAUUCCUGGUUAUAGAACCACAACGGAUCAGGUCUUGUUUAAGUCUCAACGUUCUAAUUCUUGUGUUUAUGGAUUCAAUUCUUUGAAUUUCAGACCAUUCAAGAGGAAUCUUGACUUGUGUGGCAAGAAAUAGACUCUGUUUUAAAACUACACUACCAUAUCUUUCACUGUUAUCACUUCUGUUUGCUUCUACUCAGAGAUAUGUCUUCGUAUGUUGUCGACUUUGGUUAUUACACAAGAUUUUUGUUUCUGUGUCCGCCACAUCUGUUUUAACUAUUAGUAUGAAAAUAAAUAAGAUGGGGAUAUGUGCUUUGGAAAAAAAAAAGGGAUCUCUGAUUAACCAAUAGCACUCAAACUUUGAAACCUUAAGUACUGAAACGUUAAAGAUCGGCUAUGUUCACAAAUGCAACUAAAUCAUCCGAUUAUAAAAAAAAGAAAAAAGUAAAACCUUGAGUUUUGGUUUAUAAAGUUUUUUAAGCUUGUCCCAUCUUGUUUAAACAAUUGAUUCCUUCUUCCAUAUAGUCCUCUCUAUUGAUCCAGAACUCUGGUGCAUCCUGAAACAUUAACCAUUCAUAGAAUCCAAAUUCCUUUAGCAUCAUCAUUUCGAAGACUAAAAUUCAGAUUUCGUGUGGCAAAAGAGAGAAAGCAUUGAACUUUUGUUACCUUCAUGAUUCCUGCAAGAACAGCUCCUCCUAGGUAUACCAUGUGUUUCCUUCUCGGUGGAUCUUCAAUCCGCAAUCUGAGUUUCUGAUUGAUAAAGAGACAGAAAUAAAAUGUUAAACCGGUUAAACCCGUGAUAAUGACUAACAAAUGAUCAUGAAGUUAUCAGGAUAUGUUACCUUCAAGCCAUCUUGUUCCUUUAAGAACUGUAUCGAGAUACCGAUCCUGGAUUUCUUUCUCAAGACUGAAACAAAAACAAAAGAAAAUUGAGCACAGAGGACAUUACAACAUAAAACCAUGAAGUUCUUCUUAUUGGAUUAUGAUAAACAAAAAACUAUACGAACCGGCUAGGUAAUCCUGGGUACAUGGUGCUUCCUCCGCUUAAAACUAUGUGUUGGUAGAGCUGUGAAAGAAAGAGUAAAGGGUUUAAGCAAAAUUAUUGAUUUGAUUUUGAUCUUUCUUUUGCAAUACGAAGCAAGCGUAAGAGGCAAAACAUACCAUCAUGCGGUUAUCAAUAUCCAUUUCUUGAAUACAGCGGAACACCAUGUCUGCCAUUCCAUCACCUUCGACAUCAAUGAGUUCCUGUAAAAAGAUUUCGUUUUGAGAUCAGCCUCAAGAUUCUUGGAGGGCUGAAAAUAUUCAGAAACAGAAAAUUAGCAAAGUAGAGUUUACCGGUGUAAAAAGAGCUUCAGGUGCUUGGAAUCUUUCCGUGCCAACCUUGAUGACCCUCCCAUCUGGAAGCUGAUCACAGCACAGAAAUACAACAGAUUAGUAGUCCAGAAAUAAUUAUCUGGAUGAUAAUAUCAGCUUUUGAGGCUGCAAUUGACAUAAGUAUGAAACGUUAUCGACUAUCGGAUAAGAGAGAACCAAAUAACAAACGAGAUGGCAUGAAAACAACUGUGAUAAAAAAAAAAAGAUGGAAAUAAUCUUCAACUUUCUUUACAGACUCGAGUAUGCUAAGAAUUUGCUAUCUUGUUUGGUUCUUGGUUCUAGUUUCCCUAGAAAUUUUGAUAUUUUUAUUCCUGACAGGUUCAUAGAAUAGAGAACUUACAGUAUAAUUCUUAACAAGGAUGGUUGUCUCGAGCCCAAGUUGAGACUCUCUCUUGUAAUCAUAGCUGCAAACAAAGACAAAACAAAUAGUUUAUAGUCCUAGUCUUGUAAUGCAUUACUACUAAGAUAUAAGAGUAAAUCACUCAAAAGGUCUUUGCAUGCCUUAUAUAACAGAGCUUCUCUUUAAUUUCUCUAACUGUCUCAAAAUCAGCCGUCUUAUUCAUCGCGUAUCUGUUGAACAAACAAUUUUAAAUAUUUAGAUAGAACAUCUCAAAAGAUCAUCAAAAUGUUAAUUAGGCUUCAAAAUGUGAGUCUAUGAAUCAGUUUCUCACCCUCGUCGAGAAAGUAGAUCAACGAGAUAUGCUGUUAUGUGUCUGCCAGCGACAUUCAUUCUUUUGGUAAGAUGAGGGAAAGAGUAGCCAUCAACCACGGGAACCUAAGAUGUGAGGCAGAGACUGUUAAGUGCUCUAUUAGAUAAACUCAAUCUCAAUAUUAUAGAGUUCUGUAGCUUACCACAUGAGUAACACCAUCACCAGAAUCAAUAACCAAACCAGUUAGCAAACCUGAAAUCGAUAGUUCAACACAGGAAGAAAAAUAUCAAAGAAGUGCGUAAAAAUCCUUUUCACAGGUGAGUCGGUUAUAUACACACGAAAGAAAAUCUAAACCUUCAAUAAUCUCCAUAAGCACCUUGAGCAUACAGAGUUAAAACUGCUUGGAUUUGAAUGAAAACGCCAGCGAAAUUGUAUUUCUCAAACAUUGUCUCAAUCUGUUUCACAACAUAAACGAGUCACUCCAACAACCAUCAAAGCAAUUAACGAUUUUCUCGAUCAAAGACUUGACAUAACCAUACCAUUUUUUCACGAUUCUUUGAUGGAUUAAGAGGUGGAUCCGUGAGCAAUAUCUUACAAUCUGAUGGAUUGAUCUGUUAAUCACACAAUAAGGUUUAAGAGCUAAGUCAAGAAACAUGGAACAGGAAAACCAAAUUUCCAGAAGAAUCAGGAGAAGAAAUUUACUUUCAAUUCUUUAUAGAAAGCAUGAUCCCAAACAUGUUCCAUAUCAUCCCAAUUCUGCACAAUACCAUUGUGGACAGGAUAAUUUAUAUCCAAUUGAUGUCGAAGCUCAGCGCAAGUCUCCCCAACAACUAUAUCCUAAAAUGAAACAAAACAAAACGUAUAUGAAAUCAAACUACACAUAUCAGCUCAGUCAAAAGGAUAUCAAAUGUUAUAAGUCACAUAUGGACAAACCUUGACUUGCUGCUCCAUGAGUGAUUCUUCAUACCGAAGCAACGGUCUUCCCACGACACAGGGGAAAACAGACGUUGGGAAAUUCUCUCCAGCAAAUCCACAUUUCACAUACUGAAAAAUUUAGCAAAAAAGACUCAUGAACAUGAGCUUGCCACAUUUAACAUGGAUUUGUUUCGAUUUCAAUAAAAAUACGAUCUUAUACACUCGUAAGACAUGAAAGAUUUCAAAUUUUGCAACUUUAAGACAACUAGAUCCUUAACAACACCAAAGAAGACGAAAAGGUAAGAUUUUUAACGAAACCCAGACAACAAAUGGAAUGAUUGAUCAGAUUCAACUAAAGAUCGGACUCUGAAACAACAGCAAGAGAUAUAUAUAUAUAUAUAAGAGAAAGAGAGAAGAAGCUUACGCCGGUGCCGUUGUCGCAAACGACGACGUUUUUGUUGUCCAUUCUCCUCCGAUUUCAAUAAAAUUUUCAGAUUUUGAUCGAAUAAAUCGGAUUUCGUCGACCUCAGGGAAUAAAGACUUAUCUUUGAAUCGAAGCGAAGAAUCACUCUUCUCUACUUUGUUCCGGUCACUGGUCGCGAUCGAGAAAACAAAAUUGCUCUUCCACAAACAAAAAACAGUUGUUUCCUCAUUUCUCUACCAGAAUGCGCGUCGUUUACUCUACGUAAAAACGCCACGUAUUUCAUAUGGUUAAUACACAAACGGCGGCUUUUUUGUUGGGCUACAGAAUAAAAACAAUUACUAAUGGGCCUUCAAACGUUAUCCCUUUUCUCGAAUAUUGAGAUGGAAUUAACUUGUUAGUGGGUUUCAAUGGGCUAUUUUUAUCAACUCAGGCCCAAUUUAUUUUCGUAUAAGGAUCAAGAAUCGAAAAGAUAACAUUCUCACGGAGAACGGGAGAAGGCUUUGCGGCUUGCCCUCCCGUUGAAGAGGUUUGGUUCAUAUUUUAAACUCUUUAUUAUUUGUGGGCUUUAGCCAUGUAGGAGGAAGCCAUGAAAGUUAAGAUCUUGAGUAUCCUUUGUGGCUUCAUCUUCUCCAGCCUUUUAAGCUUGUAAACGAAAUUGUUACUCUUGACUUUCUAUGUUACUUAUGUCCUGUAUACGGUAUACCCAAAAGAGUAAGUUCCUCAUCCCUUUGCCUUAUAUAAAUAUAUCUUUGGUACAAUCUCAGCUCUUACAGUGCGGAGUUGCUAUUCUUUUAACUGAUUAUUUCUGCCGGGAAGCAGUUUGGCAUACUGUUGCUUUAUGGACAUGGGAUGCUCAAGACGAAACAUGUGGGAUAUGUCGGAUGGCUUUUGAUGGUUGUCGUCCUGAUUGCAUUUGCAACCUUCCUGGAGAUGAUGAUUGCCCUCUAAGUAAAGUUCUCUCCUUUUAUUUCUUCACUUUUAUAUUUGUUGCUUAGGACACACACUCCCUCCCAUGCUUACAGGAACAUUGCUGUUUUUUACUUAUGGUAUAAAUAAAAAUAGACAAAACAAAACUGCAUGUCUUAGACCUUAUUGUUUUGUUGUUAGGGCAGUUUGGAGAACUUGUUAAUCUUUUCUUGAUUUUUGAUUAGUCUUUGUUUUAGUUUAUUAACACGAUAUUUCACCUGUAUUUAUGCUAAUUACCUAAUUUCACCUCUCUCUUUCCUUGGUUCCGUCAGAUUCAAGUCAGAAUGGGUGAAAGUUAUAUAAACUUUCUCUAGUAUGAAAAAAUAGGCUUCUGUAUAUACUUUAUAGAGUGAGACUCGAUUGAUCUGAAAACAGCUUACUUGGUUCCCAACCGCUUAAUCGGGUUUGUACCAAUUCAAAACCUUUCCAUAAUCAACUUCACAUCACACACAUAUUCAAUCAGAGAUGCUAAAGACACUGAGAGCAGUAACAUUGAAAGUAAAAGAGUUAAAGAAUAUAACUUCACCAUCAUUGUCAAAUCCAUUGCAGCUCAAAGCCACUGAAUCAGAACAAGCAGCUAAGUCUUUUACACUUUGACUUUAAACAAAAGUCUUUAACUCAUUCAGAGAAGAACUCAUUGUAAAACUGUAAUCUUCAUUCCAUAAAUGUAAUGGAAGACAAGUAUACAUUACCAUUGUUGUACUAUCAAAAGCCGGUUUCUUCUUCAUAUUCAAAAGUAACAAAACACAGAAUAAGUAAAAAUCGCUGGCUCUGUGUAUUAACAAACUCCACCUGCAAGUUCAAAUAACAGCUGCCAAAACAAAACUCGUCACAAACACUCAGAAAAAAAUUUGAAGAUUCCACUCUCUUGUAGUUGUAUCAUCAUCCUCAAAAUUGAGCUCACCUGUGUUUUUUGCAGAGGUUGCAAUAAGUAUAGAUUACCAUUCUCACUCAGUAUAUAACCUUUUCUUUUCUUCUCCAUGGUUGGUACAAAAUUACAACAAUAUUAUCACAAAACAAAAGCCAAAAGCUUUUUCAAAUCCAGAAGAUAAAAACCAAUACUUUAACGCCCUGAGCCUUGAGAAUCAUCUUUCUCACCACUCUCUUGCUGAUGAUCUUCAUGGUUAUGAUGAAUAUGCUGAAGAACCCUACCUUGAGCUUGAGCCUGAGCUUGAGCUUGACCCAUCUGUUGAUAAAGCUGAGUAAAAGACUGUGGAUUCAAAACACCAACAUUCCCUUCCUGAGACAACCCCAACUCAAGUCCAGGCAUCUGAUGAGUAUUCCCACCACCACCACCCAAAAUGGAAGCAAAACUCAUAGGUCCAACACCAGGAAAAUCAAAACCAGGAAACCCAAUUCUAUAACCAGCACCUUCACUCAUCAACCCAGUGGUUGGCACACCAGAACCAAACCCAGCUACAUUUGGCCACAACCCAGUUGGUAAAUUAGACCUAGAAGCUCCUUCACCGCCACCAAUACCCCAGUUUGGUGGUCUACCACUACUAGAACCACCACCGUCUACUAAGUCAUGACUGAUCAUUAAACCAGCAGUAAGAGACCCACCUUGAUGAUGAUGGUUAGAAACAGAGGCAGCAGCAGAAGCUAAAGCAGAGGCAGGUAUAGUUCCAGAACCAGUAGCUGCAAUAAUCGACGGCUCAGCUUGUUGAAGCAGCCACUGGAUAGUUUCACCAUCAGAUUUGUGACCCAAUUCUCUAGUCAAUUGAAAAAUCCUAGCAGCACAAAGGGCAGGCAUCCUGAUCCUCCGACCUCUACCUUCGACUUUAGUAUGUCUGUCUUUGUUAGAGCUUCUCUUAGGACCAAGCUGGUUCUGACUCUUCUUAGUACUACUGUUGUUCGGUUCUUUGUCGGAAGAAGCAGAGACCACGAUCUGGAAAUCUUUAAUCUCAGUAGUAGAUGAUGAUUUCCGAUUCUCGUCCUUGUUGAUGUUGUUGUCGUCGUCAAGUCCCAUGCCCUGGUUCCGCGGUGGUGGUUGUGAUGAUGGGUUCAAGAAAUUUGGUACUUGGUGUCGAUUUAGGUUCUUGGGAUCCAUCGAAGCCUUGUGUGGGGACUUCAGGGUCCAGGCUUAAAUUAAUCAAAAUCCUCUCUUUCUCUCUCUCUCUCUCUUUCUUGGGAUUCAAUUUCAAUUAAGGGUUUUGUGGAAUUGUGGUGACUUUGAGAAGAAAAAGGUAUCGACUUUGAGAAAAAAAUUUAACAGUGACUUUUAUUGGGAAUUUACUAAUUUAUUUAAAAGAGAGAACUCGUAAGAUCCCGAUGCAGAGAAUGGAGAAGAAUAAAGAAAAGAGAAAGUUAUCAUCUUUCGAUCUCUUGAAAUGGGUCAAAAAAGAAAUGAGAAAACACUUAAAAGUACGAGACUUUGGUUUUGUCUUUUUCUUUUUAUUUUACUUUAUUUUUGUUUUUGUUUUUGUAGUAUCAGAGUGAGAUAGUGAGUUUCAUAGGUUUCUUCUCACCAAGUGCUGACAUUUUUUAAAGACCUAUAAACAGCAAAGUAACCAAACAAAUCCGUAAAGGAAGAAAAGUAAUGACCGUUUCACAUUUAAAUUCAAAGGUAAUUGAGAGAAUCUAAAUGAACUGCCACUUCAUUUCCCACUAGAUACAGUCAAUGACUUUGUCCAGUAUUUUUUUUUUUUUUUUGAAUUGCCAGGAUUUGUUUUAUUUCAAAAAAUGUAAUUUAGAAGGGAUUCUUAUGGAUUUUGCGACUUUCUCACUCAAAUUUUAUGAAUAUGCCAUUGUUACUAAAUAUUUAUACAUUUUCCAUUUUUAAGUUUUUUUAAAUAUUUGAUUUUAUGAUUUUUUUUGAUAAAAAUAAUUACUUCAUAACAAAUACUAAACCCUAAGAAAAAAUAGAACCAAGAAAACCCAAACAUAAUGUGUAGAAUUGUAUUUUUAGAUCUAUAAAAGUGACAAAUCUAAAAUAUUUAACAGAAAAUGACAAAAAGAAAAAUGCCAUUGAGAAAAGUCCUUAUUGAGUAAUUAACUCAAUUUAGAAAGAAAAAAAAUGCUAUUGUAACUGAAUAUGUUAAGAAAAAAAAGUAUUAGGUUUUGGGAAAAAAUUAUUCUUCAGUGUCAAAUGUCAAAAAAAUUAUUGUUGAAUUUUAAAGUCUAAGAGAUGUAUGACCUAAACACUUUAAAAAAAAUCAAUAUAACGUUUCACCGCGUAUUAACAGGACAUUUGUCUCUUCUUAUCCGCGACGGAUGGAAACAUAAUCAAGUUUACACUAAAUAAUACUCUUUUGUUUCUAUUAGUUAUUUGUUCACACAUAUUAAUCUCCUUUAGUGUAUUUCUGAUUUUCUUAUUGGUUGAUACGUUAAAACAGUUAGAUUAAACUGGAAUUUUUAUAAAACAUCUCCAUUGAAAAUCUAAAACGACAACUAAUAUGGAAACCAAAAAAAUAUAUUAAGAAAGACAACUGAUAAAAAUACAGAGGGAGUAGUAUGGUUUAAAUUUAACAAAUAGCUUGUUCAAGUUAUGAAUAUGAUUUUUAGUAAUGCUUCUCAAGUAUCUCCCUUCUUGCCCUAAGCCAAAUGAAAAUAAAAGUAUGAGCACCUUACCUACAAACAGUAGUCAAAGUCAACGUCUUCUCUAAGAAGGAAGUAUACCUUAGCUAGUCUAUCAAGUUGGAUCAAUGAGUUGUUGACACACCAAGAGAGAGAGUUUGGUUAGCUUGUAGGGAAAGAUCUAAAGAGAUUGAAUUGAGUUUGAGAGUUUCAUCAUUUAUGGACCGACAACAUCAUACCAUCUCUCUUCUCUUUCUGUUUUUUUACUCGCACCUCGCAUCUCAUCAUAACUACUAUACUCAUUAAGUCUUAGACUUCAGUUAAUCUUAAUUGAGCUAACUACUCUCUAGCUUUAGUUAAAGGUAUGAUUCUAAUAGUAUAUAUUAAUGACCCUCAUAAUCACGUUUUAAUAUAGUAAUACACUAAUCAUACAUGUCAAGUGUUGUUAAUUUGGUGUGUGUGCGUGUCUCAAGAUUUACGGUUCAACUACUCUUCAAAACCCAAGAAUUAGUCCCCAAAAAGUUUAUUUAUAACAGAAAAUGUAUUGUACAACUAAACCUAGAUAAAUAAGUCAAAAUUUCUUAAACUAGUCAGAAUUAAUCACUUUCAACUACAUGCAUCUCUUCUAUUUACCUCUAAAAACCAAAUGAUAUUUUGAUAAUGUCGUGUUACUUUGUCACCAAUCAAUUCUACUAUUUACCUUUCUCUAUUUAAGUGUCAAAUCUAAAAGUUUUACAUUCAAAUGGUAUUUUUAUUUGGAUAAUGAGUUUUAGAUCCAUAAGAUGUGCAUCCAUGCCAUCCAAAAGAUUUUUAAAACUUAAAUACAAUAAAUGAAUUAAUUUUAAAUGUACACUAAAUAUAAUUUCAAAACCAUAAUAUUUCCUUUUUUUGUUAACUAUAAGUGAAGUUUAAUGGAAAAUGAAAAUACCUACCAUAUCUAACCGUAAGUAAAAUUCCUAAUCUUACGAGUCAUUUUUUUUUUGGCAAAUAGUUAUUCAUUGAUUAGUUGGUGAAUGAUACAAUUUUAUCGUUUAGUAAGUGUUAUGAAUUAUAUCAUUUUUGGAAGAAAUAUAUUGAAUAUGUCUUUUACAUAACUUGUACUAAUAAUAAUAAGUUGACAACUAAUCGUCGCGUUUGUAUAAAAAGUAAAAAAAAAAAAUGCAAUUUUUGAGUCGGUGCAUAUGAAAUUUUUGGAUUGAAUUAUGCUCCCAAAGUAAAAGACACACACAGACCCAUAUAACAAAAUGAGUCACCAAAAAAUUAUUUUGUUCAACCAUCAAUUCCAUUUCCUAAUUAUGUAGAGCCAAACAACAUAAAUACUUAUUUUGCUAGAGAUUUUGGCAUUAUACUAGGUUUCUACAUAUAAAAAGUUGAACGAAAUAGAAAAAAAUAUAUGUAUCAAGAAAAAUAUAUAUAGAAUUCCGAAAAAAUAUGUAUGGAAUUGAUUAUAAGACGAGAAUUGAUUGGCAAAAUUCUAAUUGGUGUUUAGCUUACGGUUUGAUUUAGUUCGGUGGACAAUAAACAAUCGGUUUCUUCGGUUAAGGAAACACCAUAUCGAAUUUAUUUCAAAAUUACUAUAAAUGAAUUAAAUAGUACCAAACAAAUAAACUAUUUUUUGAUGACUAGAUUUAGAUUUGAAAACUAUAUAUUAUUAUAUAUUAAUAAAAUUAAAAAAUAAAAGUUUUGUAAGUGAAUAUUCAUAUUUAUAUUCUACGUUAAUUACAUAUAGUAUAUUUUGUUCAAAUAAAUUAAUAUGGAUAAUCAAUUAAAUUACUAAACUUUACAUGGACCACGGAUCCACGGGUUAAAUCUACCAAACUAAAAAUAAUAAAUCAUAUAAUUAAAAUACUAACUUUAAGAAAACCUGUAAACUAUUUCAUGUAGGUUAAAUCCUAUGAUAUAACAAAUAUUAUGUAUAGACCUUCUUACUUUAGAACAACUAACUCUUAUUUGUAAAAUUCUAUGCACAUGUGACAAACAAAAAAUUAUAUCUCUUAAUAUAUUAUUCAGCAAAACAAAUUAAAUUAAGAUGAAAUAUUAUAAAUUUAAAAUAACUUUUAUUGAACAUAACUUUUAUUGAUAUAAAAAUUUUAAAAUAUAAUAUUGUUCCGCAGUGUACCGUGGGUUAUAUCCUAGUAAUGUAAAAUCUAUCUUAUUUGUUGGCUUCCUCUCCUUCUACUUCAACUAUUUCCAUUUCCUAUAACUCCUAUUUCCUUUACUACCAUUUCCAAUAACUCGUAAAAGUUCAUAAUCGAGCUGGAGAAAAAGUACUAUAGAGAAUGUGUAUUAAUGUCAAUAGUUCGAAAGUGCAUGAUUUUUAAUUUAUGGAGUAUAUACUUUUUCAUUCAUUUUUCAGUUCGAAAUUGGUGCAAUAUGAUUGGUCACUUAAUCAAGAUAAUCUUCAUCCAUAUUAUUUAAACUGUUACUAACCUUUCAUUUUAUUUUGUUUAAAAUAAAUGUCAUCAGAAUUCAUAAUGACACAUCCUUUGUUUAUGUUUACCUCUCACCAGUAUAUUUAUUUGACAUUACGUUUUUUUCUCAAUAAUUUUAAUAACCAAUAUUAUUCAAGAGUUUCUGCCACGAUUAUCUCCACCAAUCGUGCCCCAAUUAUGGUAGAUUAAGAUUGGAGUUUCAUCAUUACACAUUUUACAGUUUCUUAACAGUUUUUAACAACUAUACAGACUAGAAUUACAAUAACUCUAAUGAUCACAUAAUUGGACUUUUACUUAUCUUAUGAGAGUGGCACCAUAUAUUAAAACCUCAACUUGCAUGUUAAGUUGUAGUAUUUUUGAUACUUGAAUAUUUUUAGUUACUUUUUUGGUAUGAUUUUGUUGUUUUUAUUCUAGAAUAACGGUGUUGUGUUGUCAAACUAUCAACUAAAGAUUUUGAUAUCACCAAAAUGUCAUAUACUCAUAUCAUAUAUUUGAAAUUUAUUUUGAUUGGUGAAUAAAUCUCAUACUAAACUAUGAUUAUAAAGAUCAUUAUAUGUUGUCUAGUGGGUUGUGAUAACUAUGAUUAAAAACAUUAUUGACAUUUCUCUCACUUUUGAUUCUCAACUUCUCAUACGGUUUCGGUCUUCUAGAUCCAAAGACAAAAAUAUAUAAAACCCACAAUAGCAUGAACUUUUUUUUGGGACUUUAAUUGGAAUUGUACCUGUUCAAUAUUUCUGUAUACACUCUCCUUACGAUGAUUGAACAAAUGCAAAUGGUACUAAACCCUCUUUGAGCUUGAGAAUGAGAGCAUUCAAAGAGACAACAACAUCUCGGGGACAUACAACAACAUUGACUAAACAUUUAAAGAGAUUUGCAACAACAUUUUGUUCUUGCGAAUUGAGAUAUUCUAACCAUAUCUACACAACAUAUGAAGACAAUUGAUUCAAUUCUGACGGCCAUGAGACUCUCAGAUAAGUUUCCUUUUGACUAUGACUCGCGAUUGCGAUUACGACCGUUGUUUAACUUGCCGAAGACGGUCCAAAGUACAUACAAAUGGGCGGGUUGAUCCUUAAGAUCGAAAGGAUUGCAGAAGGAAUUGUCCAGAUCCCGUCCCCACAAAUCAGUCCUGAAGCUACUGCACCCGCAAAGUCGUCUGCAUCUUUCCUGUUGAUCCGCUCCCAGACGAACAAUAUCACAGUCCCAACAAACAUGUCAAUGGCAAAGUACGCUCCAAUGUAGAAUGGGACAGCCAUCGCCAUUGGGAUCGGGAUGAACUGAGAGAUUUUAGGCGGUGUAAUGUCUCUCAAGAAAUUCACUAGUAAAGCUGCGAUGAAAAACCCGUAACAAAGAGCCAAACAGUGCUUAGGAAGUUCUGCAAAGCCCUCAAUACCGAGAAUCGCCAUCUCACGGAAAAUCACUGCGUAAGGUGCUUUGUACGGACCAUUGGGAUCUCCAAUGUCAAAAGCAGUCCAGAACAGCCAGAAUGUGAGCGGAGCAAUUACACAGCCCAUUGCAGUCCCAACAAGCUGGCUUACAAACAUGGAUUUCGCAGAUGAUAAAGUGAGGUAACCAGUUUUAAAAUCUUGCAUGAGGUCAGCUGCGGUAGAGACGAUUGACAUCAUAACUCCACAGGCAGCUAAACCCGCAAUGACACCACCAUCACUUCCUACUACGGAAGCGAUUAUGAAAAGACCAAUCUUUCCAUAGGUUGAUGCUAGGCUCCAGUCUGUGAGCCCGGUUCCAUAGGAGUUGCAAAAGGCAAGAGCAGGUGCAAUGAAGUAAGAACACAGGACAAAGUACCAUUUCAAGGGUGGGAAUAUCAACGGGAUUGUUGCCGUUGAGAUAGCAGCAAGACCCACAUAACCAGAAACUGCAAAUCCGAGGGGUAUACGGUCCUUAAGAAAUACUUCAUCUCUUUUCUUUUUGACCAGCAGUAUCUCAGAGGCUUCGCUGUCAUCUGAGUUAAGGAAUUUAAAAACUUAUAGUUAACAGUAUUUAGAAGUGGCCAUGAGAGUAAACAAGUUAUUGGUUAAUACAAAAACAUGUAAGAGAUGAGUCAGGAUCUAAUAUUCUCUCACCUACAACGUCGGUAACAAUGGGUAGAUUGAGUCGUUUUGACCUACUGCUGCAUAUUUCCUUCACAGUGACAGCAAUGAUCUUGACAAGAUUGUAGAGACCAUCACCAAGGAUAAUGGCAAUGGCGAUAAAGACCUUAAAAUUCAGAAACGACACAAAAACUUUAGUACUUGAACCUCACCUAAUAUCCUCCCUUUUGACAUGAAAAUGUGGUUUUAUGAAAAGUUUUCUAAUUAGGCUGCUUAUACUGUACCUUAUAUCCAUAGAGACCUUUAAAAUCAUUGGACCCAAGGUCAGCUGGAUACCAAUCCCCGGCAUGCUGUGAUACGAAUGGCCACAAAAUUCCCCAAGAGAUUAUUGCACCGAGAAGAACCGAGCAGUUUACUAUAUGGGGGCAUAUAAGACCGCAUCCAAUAUAAGUAGGACUGAAGUCAAAGUAAAACCUGUGCAGCAAAGAAUCCGGACUAGUUAAAAAUUGCACCCACAUACCUUCAAAAAGUAGCAGAAAACAUAUUCCAGCUAUAAACUUAUUCUCAAUCCUCACAGAAUCAUUACUGAAAUAAUAAUCUCGUACAUAAAAGCUGUAUCAAACUCGUCAAGAGAUAGGAUAAACUUACGUGUUCUUGAAUAGCGUCAAACCAAGGGUGGGGAAGUUAUCAAACCCACAUGCAUCUCCAAUACCACUGAAGAACCACUUGAAACAACUCCAAAUUAAGCUAAGACUCAGGUAUUUUCCAAGACAUUUGACCUGGUUCCUGUAUUGACCAACAUUACAGACACAAGUUCAAUAAACAAAAGAUAUGGUUUUCCAGAAAGCAAAAUGAAAUGACUAUUGAAUCUUGACAACAUUUACCCUGCAAGCUCAGCUCCAGUGUUGGUAUGGAAGCUGUUAAUCAACAUUGCUGUGGCGGUUCCACUAGGAUAAGUAAGUUUGUAGUCCAAAACCAUCACCUGAGAUAUACUUGUGAGUAAAGGAGAAGGACCAAACAAUAGUGAAAGGACACUAUCUAUAAUCUACGCUAUUGAGAUUGCUACCUUGCGUAAUGGAACGAGACUAAAGAGCCCCAAGAAGCUGACUACAAACAAAAACCCAAUCAUCCACCAUAGUCCAGGAUUUAUAACAUCUUCCGCAUGAUUUCCCGGAUAAUCAGCACCAAUGAGCUUGUAUGUCUUCUCAUCCAUAGCAAUCAAGUAUGAACCAAAUCCUCCUGAAAUUGACAAAUCAAUAUCAAAUAAGAAGCAAAACAAAAGACCAACCCAUACCAAAUCCUUAUAAUAGUAAGUAAUCACAAUCAAUAAAAUCUCAGAAAUAGCUACAGAUCAAUUCAACAAAGUCAACCAAUCAGAUUCUUCUCGAUCAAAACCACAAUUACUACUAUUGAACAAUCGCAAAAACAAAUACUGUUCCAGAAUUCGAAAACUAAGAAUCCGAUUUUCGAAUACAGAUCUUGAUGAGUAAAACAAGGUUUUAUACCGCUAAAGGCGAGGCCAUAGCAAGCAACAACACAAGUCUGAAUAACAGUAUUCUCUUGCUUAGUAAACGGCUUCACCGUAAACCCAAGCUGCGACAAGAAACCAGUCCACGACUUGACGAAGAAGAACCCGAGCAAUCCCGCGGCGACGUUCAACGACGGUAUGAUCCCAACCGUGAGAUUGAGUUUAUGAGUAAUGAUACAGAACAAAGUCCCCAACAAAGCGCUAACAGCCAAUCCUCGAAUCGUUAUCUGCUCUUUCCACUCAGGCACAUGCUCGUCCGCCGCCGACGUCGCUGUUUUCUCCGAUUCCGGUCGUAACAAUGCCUCCGAUAUCUCCUCCGAUCUAGGGAUCUCCGUCCCCAUUGUUUAAGCUAUCUCUUCACCGCGGAUUUCGCCAAAAGUUUCCGAGAAAAUGGAUCAGAGGAUCUAUGGAGAAAAUGGUUAUGAGAGGAUUUGUGAGAGGUUUGGUUAGUUAGGAUUUGGAAGAGAAGAGAAGAAUGAAAAAAAAAUCAAAGAUUAGACGCAACGUGAUUUGGAGUAGGUCGAAUGAGAAAUCGCCACGUGUAAUUUUAGUCUGUUACGUUAAGGUUUACAUCGAGACAAUAAAUUUUUUAUCUGUUAAGAGAAUGGGAUUGAUACGAAGUUACGAGCAAUUAAUGUAAUUUUGUUCUUUUCUUCGUUCUUCCGUCUCUCUCUCGUCUCGUGUUUCAGAUUAUUUUAUUCCACUAAAAUUUUGUAACGGUCGUUUUAUAGUUUUAUUUUUGUUUGUUGGGCUCAAGAUUCAUUUGGGCUGGGCCGUACUAUAUUAAUAUCCAAUAGAGCAUUCAAAAGCGUCGCAUAAAAUAUUGUAGCCUACUAAACAAAUAUGAUGUGGGAGACAAUGAUUCAAGAUUGAUCUAUAAGAUUUUGAUAUAGGAGCAAGCGAAUUAAGCAUAAUGUAAGAUGCAUGUUCUAAGUUAUAACAAAGUCGAUGUAGAAUAUAGAUAGAUUCAAUCAUUCAAUAGCAAUAUAGCAUUAUAUACUUAGGUCAAAACUUGCAAGUGUUAAUCGUUUUAAUGAAUAUGCAUAGUGUCAUAUUCGAAACUCAGUUAUUCAUAUUUGAAUACUCGGUUGAUAUAUUUAUGAGAAUCAUGCGUGAUGUUUGCAACCAAUGUAUUUUGUGAUAUAUUAUCAAAAUUCCAAACAUAUGGUUACGUUGGUGACUUGGUGUCAAUGCCAUACUUUUGAUUUGUGGACGUACGUCAGUAUUAUCAACGAAUAGAGAUUGAAAACAUGCAUGUACGUAGCAAAUUCGGCGAUCACAAGUCUUGGUGGCACCUAAAAAUUUGCAAACCUAGCUACAAGAAUUACAAAACAAAUGGGACCAGGAAAGAAAAACUGUGAAACAUCACGCAUGAUUCUCACUUAACAUUAAUUUGUCAGUUUUUUUGCAUGUGAUUUGUGAACAGUGCGAUGAUAAUUUAGUGUACGAUACAAAAGAGUCCUCACAUGUAUCGAUCAGAAUGAUAUAUAUAAAGGAGAAGAAAGAUCUUAAAAGCUCACAUAUGAAAUAGCUCUUUCUCCUUUUUUGUGUACUCUGGGACACACAACGUACAAUGUUAUAAGUUUGCUUCUUGUUUCUUUGUUUAUUAACAAUAUACCUUAUAACCAUGGGAUUUUAAAUUAGAUAUUUUCAGUCAUCUUCUCAUUGCCAUAGCUUGGAUUCAAGACCUCAAAUACUCUUAAGUCUUAACCCUUUAAUUGGUUGGCCGAGUACUUCUGGUGUAGUUCACAUCGGUCGGGUUUAUCUCAGGCUCGAAUUGAAAACCUACGUACCAAUAUCUGGUUGGCUAACUGUACUCUGGUUAGUUCAUACAUAAUGAUAUAAUUAACAAUGCUUAAUAUAAUGUUUCAAAACUAUUUUUGGGGUCCUAUCGGGUGGAAAUGGUUGCACAAAAAUGAAAGAGUUGGAAAAGAAUAAGUUGAAUAAAAAAAGUUGAAUAGCAUUCAACCUAUUCAUCAGCAAAAUAGGAGAUGAAUGAGUUGAACGAAUUUCCUGUAUAAUUAGUUCAUUUUUUCAAUUUGUUAAGUUGAACGGGUUGAAUAAUUUUUCCAACCUCUUCAACUCAAAUGGUAAAAACUAGUUAAAAAAAAAUUUUCAACCUCUUCAACCUCUUAAAUUGUGCAACCAUUUGCCUCCUAUAUCUAUCAUUUUCCCUUAGAUGUCACACUUUAAUAACAAAUGUCGGUGACGUGGCAGAGCCAGGACAAAACAGUGAAAAUCUCUGUGCGAGCUAGAGGCUUCUAUUGCUUGCACGCCAAUUAUUUUUAGAGACUGAAAACAACAUUUCCUUUAGAAGAUGUGUAUCGUUUUCCUUUUAAGGGAAAUUAAAAAGCAAAAAAGCAUGCAAGAAGAAACAGUAUACACACACACGACACACUCCAAUAAUACGAUUGCGUUAUGUUGUGUCAUGUCAUGAACGUACUGAUCAUACACGCGUCGGUUCUGAUAAGAAGUUUUCACAAACAUGUCCCAACAAAGUUUGGAGAAGUGGCCAAGUGGGAUACUAUACCCUAUCAUCUCUCUCGGCCUCGAUCAGCCAGAGACUUCCGUAUACAAAUUACACACACACCUUUUAGCUCGAGAACAACCUUUCCUUAAUUCUGUGACGUCUCAUCGUACGUAAAUAAAGUCCUAUAAAUGCAAAUCUAUAUAGUAAUGUUAUAUAUGUGAAUCCUCAACACAUUACGACACAAGACGACCGGACAACAAUAUCAUGUACUGUUGUAAAAUCAAUCAUAAGAUUCGGAUCCUUCUAGCUCAAACUUGCCUACUACAUCUACACCUAUAUAUAGAUAAACCUUAAGAGUAAAUUGAAAAAUAAAAAUAAUAGAAGCUGUAGAUCAAGCGAAGACAACAUGAAGGUGAGUAUAUAUAUACACGUAUAUCCUAAUGUCAAAGUCUAAUCAUAAUAUUCUUCUUUCUUUGUGAUGAUAAAUGAGCUAUAUAUAGUUGUACUUAGUCUAUCAUUAACUAAUCAUUUCAUUUUAACGAACUCUCUCCCUAUAUCUCUAUAUCUUGCAGCUGCUAAGUUGGAUGCGAACUAUAAAGCAAAAUGGCUUAGACCCAUCAAAAGAGCUCAAAGGUUUGAUUUCAUAAAGAACUUUAUCUAGCUCAUACAUAUAUAACCUUUGAAAACAACCUAUACAUCUUUAUAUCUUCAUACAAUGUUAUACAUAGAUGUUAGUCUUCUUGGUUGAUUCUAAUGAGCAUACUCUUUACUCUCUAGCUAAUCUAUUUUUUGAUAAAACAAAAAUGAACCUAACUUUCAGGUGGUUUCGGUUGUCUAAGAGCUAAGGUCUUCUCUGACGUCCAAGACAUCCGCACAAACUCCUUCUCCUUCUCCGGAUCAUCUCAUCACAAGAAUCCACCCAAAGUUGAACAGGAACUUCGGUUUGAUGAAGACGGUUUCUGCGGAUUUCUUGCCAUUGGGACGCUUGGUACAGACCCUGAGACACCAAAGUUCUCAGCUAUGGUUGCAGAAGAAGAUGUAACUCGAGAAAGAAUGGAGAUGGCCAAGCUCGUUACUGAGAAACUAGAUAAGUUUCUAAAGGAAAAACCUGAGGACACAACCAGUAAGCGGGUCGAAAGAUCGAAUGCAAAAGAAGAUAAAGAGUCCUAUGCAUGUCCUCUACACGAUUAUGAUCACUUUGGAACGUCCAUUGAGCUUAAGAAGAGAAACAAUGGAAGAGUAAAGAAGAAAAAGAGUUUACUUACGAGCCUAUUCAAGAGGAGACAAUCAGAACAAGGAGAGCCUUACAUAGAGAAACACAACACAAGCGAUGUGAUUAAAAAUGUAUUUGAAAAGCUUCAUGGAGCUUCUACAAAGAUUAGAAAUGAUGAUGAAGAUUUUAUGCCCAAGAAGAAAGAUCUUAGAAAGGUUAGUCUUUUAGCUUUAAGCAUUUUCAAAUGGUUACCUAAAGACUGGUCUGAAGAAUUCUGAAAGAUAAAUGUGGUUUCUGUUUUGGUUAUAGAGUGCUCAAACAUGUCGACGUAAAGUCCAUCCUGUUCUCUACACACCUAUAAGAGACGAUAACAAGAUAGAUGACAGAAGAAAAGUGGAUCUCAAGGUCCCUAGUCUUCUUACUGGAGGGUUUCUUGGUGCAAGUUCCAUCUCGGAUACGAACAGGAAGAGAGAAAACUGGAUCAAGACCGACACAGAGUGUAAGUCAAGAUGCUGUCUGUAUAUACAGAACAAUGAACACAAAUAACACUAUUUGGUUUUUUCAUUUCCCUCUCUCUCAAGGUUGUCAUAUCAUUUGCUUGUUUUUUGCAGAUCUUGUUCUGGAGCUGUGAAGAUAAAUAAAUACUCACUUCAAGAAACCUCCAUUGAGGUUCCAAGCAAAGCUCUCUCCUAUCAAAUCCACAUAUAUAAUAUAGUACAAAAAAUCACUAUCUAUUAAUGUGUAAUCAAAAUGGGUUAUUUAGUCUUAGUUUAAGGCAAUGUGCUCAUGUAUGAAACUCUUGUAUCCCAAUUUAAACAGUAUUCAAAGUAGCACCUAUACCUGAUUUGGCCACAGGUUUAACUGCUCAUAAACUAUCACCAAUAUCUCUUAUCCAAACCAAUCAUUGAUAAAUCUAUAUUGUCUGCCCGGUACAGCAAGAUUUGACCCUCUUUGCCUCUUGAGCUCGAAUGCAACACCAUUAGUGCAAGCCUAACAACAACUAAAAAAGCUGAAGUUUAUAACAUUUUGAAAGAUCCAUAGGGAUAAAAUAAAGCAUAGAUCAAUCGCAAGAAACAGAGGUAUUGAACUUAAUACUUAUUAGACUGGAUUCAAUCAGCUAACAGAAGAUCGAAAACCGAAAGCAAACUGGGUCCAGUGUUACUCCCAAGACUCAAGAGAGAUACAAACAAAAAGGUAAACCAAACUACUAAGAAAACAACCAAGUGGACACAAUUCUUGAUAUACCAUCUUUAUGCAGUAAUCUACUUUAUUUCAAAUUCUUUAACAAAAAGCAAACAACACCAAAGAGCAUAGAAACAACUGAUUGAACAAUCACAAAAGAGAAAGAAGACGAUAAGUUCACAAAAGCAGAGCCAAUAAAGAAUACAAUGCCCUUUCCUCGUAACCUAUCACUAAGCUUUGUAUCCUAACCUCUUCUACCUUCUCCUUAGCCACCAAGAAAAGCCAAAAAGAGUCAUCACUCACUCACUCAUCUUCUUCUACAUAACUCUCCACUUGUCUCCAUCUUCAUCAGCAAAAGAACAAACAAACAAUCUUUAUACACACAAUUCACAUAAGCAUUUUCAAUACAAAACACUACGAAGAGAAGAGUCUCAAAACCGUUACAUAUGAGCACGGAUUGGGGACCAGUGAUUGUAGCGGUGUCACUCUUCAUCCUACUCUCACCAGGACUACUCUUCCAGCUUCCUGCGAGGACUAGAGUGGUUGAAUUUGGAAACAUGACCACAAGCGGUAUAGCUAUUUUGAUUCACGCAUUUAUAUACUUUUGUAUAC
rnacentral:lncRNA from 1 species